AAUAUAUGUAUUUCGAGCUGUUAUCGAGCCGAACACGAGUGAGCUGAACCCAGCUCGUGUUCGGCUCGUUUAUUAAACGACUUAAAAAAUCCAGCUCGUGUUCGACUCGUUUACUAAACGAUCUCGAGCUCAUUUCGAGUCCAGAGUGUCGCAACAGCCGAGCUGGCUCGCGAACAGCGAGCUGGAUUGCCACCCCUAACCAUUAGAAUAUUGUCUGAUAUAUAAGGUAUUUAAUUUGUUUGGCUUAUUCAUCGAGAAGAGCUUAAUAAGAUGGCGAGAAGCGCUUCUGAGGUGCUUCUUCUCCCUUUGUUGAAGUUGAACAGUUCAAAGAAAUUGGUGGAGGGCCAUCAACAAGAUGACGCCACUUUCGUUAGGACUUGUUUUAAUGGGCUUAACGCUUUAAUUAACUGGUGCAAUCUCAAUCUUAUUAUUAUUAUUAUUAUUAUUAUUAUUAUUUCUAUUUGUUUUUUAUUGCCAUUUAUAAGUGCAAAUUUUUAUGAAGAAGUAAUCUUUUUCGAGCAUCUUUAUGUAACAUCACGUCUUUUUCAUCUCAGGAAUUGUUGUCUUUUUCUAAAAAAUUAUUAUUAUUCUUAUUUUAAGUUUGCCCGAGAUCUUGUUUAGAUAUGUAUGCCUCCCCAUGGUUUUUCUUUUAGAAACAUAUUGAUUGCAUGUAAUUACAAAUUAUAUUAUUAUUGUAAUUGUAUGCAGAUUAAAAUUUGAUCUUUGAUUUGAUAUGUUUAAAUUUAACUACUACAGUUGGUGCUGCACGAGAAGUCGUACAUGCUCAAAUUAGCUACAGUUCAAAUUGCCGCAGUAUAUUUUUUGCUACAUCCAACCAAACAAGACAUAUAAAAUUAUAUAUUAACUUUUUUAACUAGAUAUAUCUUCAAUUGUACCGUAUUUAUAAUUAUAUCUAAUCAAACGGAGCUUUUUCUUUUCUUGAGUAAAAUGGGUUUUUAAAGAAAAAAAUUUAUGAACUGGAAUUCAAUGUCUUUUUUAUUUAUUUAGGGUGCAUUUGGUUUCACUUAAAAGUAGUUGAAAAUUUUUUUUUGGGUUUGAAAAUAAAUUUUCUAGCGUUUGUUUUGAUGUUUUACAUAUUUGAGAGAAAACCGACUUUUCAUUUUUCACGAAAAUGUGGCAGAAAACAAAAACUCACCUGGCCAAAACAUGCGGCGCAUGGCGUUCCCCCGAAUCACAGUCCACGAGCUUAUGCACCCUCCCUUAAUUACUAAUAGCCUUUGGAUCAAACACUAUUUCAUCUACCACCAUCAUCUCAACCUUACAUCUCUUAAUCCAAUGGCUAAAAACUCAAAAGCACCACUUCUUUGGUACUUUUGAGAGUAUUCUAACUCAAAUCAUAUAUAUAUAUAUAUAGAGAGAGAGAGAGAGAGAGAGAGAGAGAGAGAGAGAGAGAGAGAGAGAGAGAGAGAGAGGCUAUUAUACUUCUGGAAGCACGGAGUCUUUCGUGCUUCCAUAUCGUUUUUGAUGUUGUGAUUUUUGAAUCGUCGAUCGGCUCCGUUAAACUUGAUCUAGAGUAUUUGAAGUAGCUAGAAAAUAAAUUUUGUAAUUUUUCGAUAUCAUUUGCCUAGUGAACUAAGGGGCUCAAAAUCAACGGCUGAAAAUAAAAACCUUACAAAAUGUGAUAAUAUGACAUUAAAAUUUUAGAUCAAAGAUAUUGAUCUUGUUUUAUAUAGUAUAAAGAAUUUUCUAUCAAAAUUUCACGUGAUUUGAAUAUUUCUAUACCAUUAAACUUGCAAACGGCUCACCACGGCCCUUAAAAUUAUUGAUUUUGAGUCUCUUCGAUCACUAGGCAAAUGAUAUCGAAAAAUCAUAAAAUUUAUUUUUUAAGUACUUCAAAUACUCUAGAUCAAGUUUAACGGAACGAUCGACGAUUUCGAAGUUCGCUAACAUCGAAAAUGACUUGAAAGACGGAAGGUCCGAACAUAGUAGCCUCUCUCUCUCUCUCUCUCUUCUCUCUCUCUCUCUUCUCUCUCUUCUCUCUCUCUCUAUAUAUAUAUAUAUUAUAUAUAUAUCACUCACUCUCUCUCUCUCUCUAUAUAUAUAUAUAUGUAUGUAUAAUAUAUAUAGAGCUAGGUACAUAUACUAUCUAUAGUACGAGCUCCGUACUAUAUUUGUUUGUUUUCGAUCAUAGGCGUUCAAUAUCAACGAUCCACACCGUUAAAACUGAUCUAAGGGCAUUUAAAGUUUUGAAAAAUAAAUUUUAUAUUUUUUCGACAGUUUACCUUAUGAUCAAACUAUUUCAAAUUGUCAAUUUUCAAAGGCUAUUAUGACGAGUUUGGAGUUUAACGGUGUAGAAGAAUCUAAAUUUCUUCAAAUUUGAUAGAAAAUACUUUAAAACUAUAUAGAUUAAGGUUACAUUCUUGAUCUUGAAUUUAAAAGUCCUAUGCUCAAAUUUUAAAGAUUAUUUAAUUUUCUACCAUCCAUUUUGAUAUAAUUUAUUAACUAAACGAUAUCGAAAAAAACUAAAAUUUUAUUCUCUAGAAAUUCAUUAUACUUAGAUCAUAUUUAACGGUGUGGAUCUUGAUUGAACCGUCUAAGAUCGAAAAAACAUUAUAGUAACCGAGCUCGUACUAUAGAUAGUGUAGUAGCCUAUAUAAUAUAUAUAUAUUAUAUUAUAUUGUAUGUAUAUAUGUAUAGAUAUAAUAUAUAUUAUAUCAUAUAUAUAUACAUAUAUAUUAGCUAUAUAUAUAUAUAUAUAUACUAAUAAUACAUAUAUUAUGUAUGUAUGUACGUAUAUACAUACAUACAUAUAUGUAUGUAUGUAUGUACGUAUAUACUAAUACAUACAUAUAUGUAUGUAUGUAUGUAUACGUAUAUACAUACAUACAUACAUAUAUGUAUGAUAUAUAUAUAAUGUGCUUGGUGUGUGUGUGUGUGUGUGUUGUAUACAUAAUAUAAUAUAUUAUUAUAUAUAUAUAUGAUAAUUAUUAUAUAAUAUACGUAUUAUAUAUGAACGCCCCUCCCAUAUAUAGAGUUGAGCUGGAAUACUAUCGGUAGCAAACGGGUUCCGUUGCCACCCAUUUGUUUUCGAUGAUGGAGCCACCAAAUAAUCUAUACCACUUGAAGUAUCUAGAAAUCAAAUUUCAUACUUUUUCGAUAUUGUUUUCUUGUUCAUUAAGUGAGCGUAAAAAUGAGCGGCUGAAAAUAAAUAUCAUCUAAAAAGUGAUGAUAGAAAUUCUGCAAUCAAGAUCGAGAGUAUAGAUAUUGUUCUAAAUAGUUUAAAGAAUUUUCUAACCAAAAUUCAAUUGAUUUGAAUAACUUUACACCGUUAAACGAGAAAACGCCUCAUAUCGAUCAUUAAAAUUACAAAUUUUAAAACCCUUUGAUCAUUAGGUCAAUGUGUCAAAAAGAUUUAAAAUUUGAUUUCUAGAUACUACAAGUGGUAUAGAUCAUGUUCAACAGUGCGGAUCGUCGAUUUGAAGGCUCCAUCAUUGAAAAUAAAUGGGUGGCAACGGAGCCUGUUUGCUACCGAUAGCAUUUCAGCUCAACUCCCCAUAUAUAUAUGGGAGGAGAUGAUUCAGUUGACGGAAGAGAGAGAGAGAGAGAUAGGGGCGUUAGUCCAAAUUUUUGUCAACUAGAAGGGAUAUGUCUGGUAGGAGAUAGUUUUCACAAUGCAUUCCGAUGAGAAGACUAAUUAUUGCGCAUGGACUAGGUCAAAGAGAGGAACGAAGGAUGCUCUAAUGGGCAGAUAAAACAAUAUUAGGUGGUGAGAAUAGUUUUGUAUAUACUAUCUCUCAUAUAUCUAAUUAAAAGAAUUAGGUGUGAAAAAAAUAAAACAUUUAAAUAAGCUAUCAAAUCAACUUAAAUAUUAAAUGUUCAUAUUUCAAUGUGAUUAUAUUUAUUUAUAUAUUGAAAAAUUAAUUAAAAUUUUAAUAUUUUGGGUGGUAAACAGUAUUUCAAAUGAAAAAAUUAUAUAACUUGAAAAUAUAUCAAUUUGGAAAAAAUAGAUGAAUGAUAAAUAAAUAAUGCUUAUAUAAUAAAUUAUAUUGAAAUAUGGAUCAAAUUAAUUAUCAAAUAUUGAGUUUUAUUCCAUAAAUUUACAAUCUAAAUUUAUUAAUUUAAAAUUUAUAAUUACUUCAAAUUUUUAAAUUUGGAUACACAUUAAAAAAAUUAAAGUUAGAAAAAAAUUAACUGAUAAAUAAAUUUAUACCCAAUAAUUACUUAAUUUUAAAUAUAAAUAUAAAUUUAAUUUAAUUAAAUGUUACGUACAUUGCACGUGCACUAUAACUAGUAUAUAUAUAUAAUAUAUAUAUAUAUAUAUAUAUGCUAGUCUCCUAUAAUAUUAUAGUACUGGGCUCCGGUACUAUAGUCUCGUUUUCGAUCUUAGGUGUUCAAAUCAACGAUUCAUACAGUUAAAACUGAUCUAGGUAUUUAAAGUUUUUAGAAAAUAAAUUUUAUAUUUUUCGAUAUAGUUUACUUUAUGAUCAACCAUUUCAAAAUUGUCAAUUUUCAAUGGCUAUAUGGAGUUUGGAGUUUAACGUGUAGAAGAAUCUAAAUUUCUUCAAAUUUGAUAGAAAAUACUUUAACAUCUAUAUAUUAAGGUUAACAUUCUUGAUCUUGAAUUUAAAAUUCUAUGCUCAAAUUUUAAAGAUUAUUCUAUUUUCACCGUCCAUUUUGAUAUAAUUUAUUUACUAAGUAAACGAUAUGAAAAAAACUAAAAUUUUAUUUCUAAGAACUUCAUAUACCCUAGAUCAUAUUUAACGGUGUGGAUCGUUAAUUUGAACCCCCUAAGAUCGAAAAUAAGACUAUAGUACCGGAGCUCCGGUACUAUAGAUAGUAUAGUAACCUAAUUUAUAUAUAUAUAUAUAUAAUAUAUAUAUAUAUAUUAUAUAUAUAUAAUAUAUAUAUAUAUAUAAUAAAUNNNNNNNNNNNNNNNNNNNNNNNNNNNNNNNNNNNNNNNNNNNNNNNNNNNNNNNNNNNNNNNNNNNNNNNNNNNNNNNNNNNNNNNNNNNNNNNNNNNNNNNNNNNNNNNNNNNNNNNNNNNNNNNNNNNNNNNNNNNNNNNNNNNNNNNNNNNNNNNNNNNNNNNNNNNNNNNNNNNNNNNNNNNNNNNNNNNNNNNNNNNNNNNNNNNNNNNNNNNNNNNNNNNNNNNNNNNNNNNNNNNNNNNNNNNNNNNNNNNNNNNNNNNNNNNNNNNNNNNNNNNNNNNNNNNNNNNNNNNNNNNNNNNNNNNNNNNNNNNNNNNNNNNNNNNNNNNNNNNNNNNNNNNNNNNNNNNNNNNNNNNNNNNNNNNNNNNNNNNNNNNNNNNNNNNNNNNNNNNNNNNNNNNNNNNNNNNNNNNNNNNNNNNNNNNNNNNNNNNNNNNNNNNNNNNNNNNNNNNNNNNNNNNNNNNNNNNNNNNNNNNNNNNNNNNNNNNNNNNNNNNNNNNNNNNNNNNNNNNNNNNNNNNNNNNNNNNNNNNNNNNNNNNNNNNNNNNNNNNNNNNNNNNNNNNNNNNNNNNNNNNNNNNNNNNNNNNNNNNNNNNNNNNNNNNNNNNNNNNNNNNNNNNNNNNNNNNNNNNNNNNNNNNNNNNNNNNNNNNNNNNNNNNNNNNNNNNNNNNNNNNNNNNNNNNNNNNNNNNNNNNNNNNNNNNNNNNNNNNNNNNNNNNNNNNNNNNNNNNNNNNNNNNNNNNNNNNNNNNNNNNNNNNNCACUCGUAAAAUCGAAAAGAAGACUAUGGUAGUACUGGAGCUUCGAUACUAUAGAUAGUAUAGUAGCCUAAUUCUAUAUAUAUAUAUAUAUAUAUAUAUAUAUUAUAAUAUAUAUAUAUAUAUAUAUAUAUAUAUAGAAUUAGGCUAGAUACUAUUAGUAGUAAAAAAGCUCUUUUUGCUAUCAAGUUUUAACCCUUGAAUAAAAAUUGUAGGGUUAGGAUAUAUCUAGUCAGUUAGAGUUGAGUGGUCCCCCUAGGUUGAGUGGUCUCCCUGGGUUAUAGUAUUAAUCUAAUGGUAGAAAUGAUGAAAAAAAGAUUGAUCCAAAGGCUAAAAACCUGGUAGCCAACAAAUGAAUUUUGCUACUAAUAUAGCCCAGUCCAACUCUAUAUAUAUAAUAUAAGAGUUGAGGCUAGAAUACUCUCGAUAGUAAACGGGGCGUUUACUAUCGAGUUGUUUUCGAUGAUAGAGCUUCCAAAUGACGAUCGGCUCCGUUUGAACAUGAUCUAUACCACUGAAGUGUUUAGAAAUCAAAUUUCAAAUCUUUUCGACAUCAUAUGCUAAUGAUCAAAGGGUUUCAAAUUGUAAUUUUAAUGGUGGAUAACAGACGUUUUCUCGUUUAACGGUUGUAAAGAUAUCCAAAUCAAUUUGAAUUUUUGUUAGAAAAUUCUUUAAAACUAUUUAAAACAAGAUCUAUACUCUUGAUCUUGAUUACAAGACUCCUAUCAUCAUUUUUUAAAGAAUAUUCAUUUUCGGGCCAUUCGAAUUUUUUGUUCACAUAGAGAGAUAAAAGAACAAUAUCGAAAGUGCGUGAAAUUUGAUUUCUAGGUAGUUUAAAUGGUUUAGUCAUAUUUAACGAAACGAUCGUCAAAUUGGGAAGCUCUAUCAUCGAAAACAACUCGAUAGUAAAACGCCCCGUUUACUACAGAGAGUAUUCUAGCUCAACCUCUAUAUAUAUAUAUAUAUAUAUAUAUAUAUAAUUAGAUGGGAUACUAUUAAUAGUAAAACCCUCUUUUUGCUAUCAAGUUUUAACCCUUGGAUGAAAAUUGUAGGGUGUAGGAUGAUAUUAGUCAGUUGAGUUGAGUGUCCUCCCUAGGGUUGAGUGGUCCCACUGGGUAAGUAUUUAAUCCAAUGGUUCAGAAAUGAUGAAAAAAAGUUGAUCCAAAGGCUAUAAAAAUGGUAGCAACAAUAAGAUUUUGCCUACUAAUAGCUAAGCUCCAGCUCCAAACUCCUAUAUAUAUAUACUAUAUAUAGUUAUAUAUAUAUAUAUAUAUAUAUAUAUAUAGAGAUAGAGAGAGGCAGAUUGAGCGAAUCAGAGCCGAUGCGUCCGGCGGAGUCCCCUGAGCGAGAGGAGACUACCGACGCACCGGGCUGAGGAUGUAUGAGACGGAGGAGAGGGGACGGGGCGAGGGGAGGGAGCUGCGGAGGACAGACGGGACCUGGAGAGAGAUUCAAAUUAACGAUCCACACCGUUAAAUAUGAUUUAGGGUAUAUGAAAUUUUUAGGAAUAAAAUUUUAGUUUUUUUCGACAUCGUUCACUUAAUAAAAAAAAUUAUGUCAAAAUGGACGAUGAAAAUUAAAUAAUCUUUAAACUUUAAGUAUAGGACUUUUAAAUUCAAGAUCAAGAAUGUUAAUCUUAAUCUAAAUAGUUUAAAGUAUUUUCUAUUAAAAUUUAAAGAAAUUUAGAUUAUUCUACACCGUUAAACUCCAAACUCGCCAUAGUAGCCAUUGAAAAUUGACAAUUUUGAAAUGAUUUGAUCAUAAAGUAAACUAUGUCGAAAAAAUAUAAAAUUUUAUUUCUAAAAACUUUAAAUACCCUAGAUCAGUUUUAACGGUGUGGUUCGUUGAUUUGAACACCCUAAAAUCGAAAACGAAACUAUAGUACCGGAGCCAGAUAGUAUAGGAGACUAUAUAUAUAUAUAUAACUAAGCUGGUAUAUUAUCGGUAGUGUAGAGACCUUCGUAUUACUGAUAUAUUUUCAAUGAUGCAGCUUUUAAAUUGAUGAACGGUUCUAUUAGACUUGACCGAUAUAUACUAUUGAAAGUACUUGAAAACUAAAUUUUAUAAUUUUGUGUCAUUAGUCUUGCUUAGUUGAUUCUCUUUUUCUCAUUGUAGGUGUUACUGCUAUGCUUUAUUACGUGCACUCUUAACUACGGAUCGAUGGCAAUUUUGGGCUACCUCAUGUACGGCGACAGUGUAAACUCUCAAGUGACUUUCAUCUCCCUACAGGAAAGCUUAGCUCGAAGGUAGCAAUAUACACCACACUAAUUAAUCCGUUCUCAAAGUACUCCUUGAUGAUUGCCCCGGUCGUAACUGCAAUCGAAGAAAGAUUGAUCACGGUCAUCAAGAGAUCUGCUACGCUGUUGAUUCGAAGCCUCGUGGUUCUUAGCACCGUGGUUAUAGCCUUAACCAUCCCGUUCUUCGGCUCCCUUAUGGCGCUCAUUGGCUCAUUACUAAGCAUCAUAGUGUCUAUGAUGCUGCCCUGUAUAUGCUACAUCAAGAUAUUUGGCGCGUCACAAGUUCGGAAGGUCGAGCUAGUACUCAUUUCGGAGAUUUUGUUGACGGGUACUUUGGUUGCUAUAACCGGUACUUACGCUUCUUUGAAGGAGAUUAUUCAUCAACUCUGAAUAUUUCUGCAGGGAACUUGUAGUGUUCUACCCGAAGAGUUCAUCAGUUAGCGUGACCGACAGCGAAGGGAAGCUCAUUCUGUGUACAAUUGUCAAGAAUAGCUUUCAGCGGCUGCGAAUCGAAUCAAUUAGAGAUGCAUGCAUGUAUGUGGUCGGCGACGCUCUUUCCAGUGACUCACUGUGAGUCAAUUUGGUUCCUGGAUUCUGAGACCGAUUCGAAGCCUGCUAGUGAUUGCUCCGAAGGACACGGCUGAUCAAGUUUCCUCCAGGAGAAGGAAGAGGAAAACUGAAGGGUACUGCAGACAUGAUUUCGUGUUCGGUGUAAAGUCCACCAUGUGCUGUUUCUAUGCUAAUUUUAUGCAGAUCAACUAUUUUGCCGACAUAUUUGAUUGGCAUGUUAAAUAAAUGGCGAAAACUCGACUCUUCUUCGUAAUUGCCGAUUUUAUUGUCACUUUUCGAUUUUCUGGCAACUGAUGUUUACGUUCUAAUUGUUUAUUAUAGAAUCAGAACUGUAUGGUGUUUAAGUUCUUUGAUAAGUUACAGAUUGAAGUUUUGGACAAAUGGAAGUCUCCAGUCACGGCUUGAAAUUAUAUAUAUAAUAAUUGCUAUUACUUACAACGUGCGUCCCCAUGUGCUUGUGCUCUACCAAUUGGUUUGAUUCCUUUUGAUUAAGUAAAGCUUUUUUUUUACCCUUUUAGAAAUAUGUAAAUAGAAUCUAAUUACAGUAUUUGGAUCUAUACAAUUUGAUUUUCUGUUGAGAAUCAGACUGAAUAAAGCACGUGCUAAUCAAGAUCGCAGCAAAUUCUGAAGCCACUGAGAGCCUGCUUGUUUGCACGGAAGUGGGAUGGGAAAGUGAUUUUCGGUGAAAACUGACUAUUUUCGUUGUUUGGUUCACCGUAAAAAAGUUACGGUCGAAAGUCCAGUUAACCAAAAACGACGUAAUUGACUUCAGCCUAUUGUGGGCCGAAGUCAAUUAUGGUGAUUAAGAUAAGAUUCUAAAAAGACAAAUAUUUUAGAACGUGCACUACAAUAAAAACGGUCUAUAGCGACACUUUUAAAUAUAGGUACAUGUCAAAAAAGUGCUGCUAGCUAAAAUUACCGAUACUUUUAAAAAGUGUUGCUAUAUGUGGGGUCGCUAGGCAUAUAGUAACAAUUAAAGAGUGUUGCUAUAACCUAAAAGAGUGCUGCUAAUUUACCAACACUUAUUUAAGCAUUUAGCAACCGCCGAAACUCUAUCUCGUUGGCUGCGGUGGCAGAGGAGGACGACAGGAAAGGCUUUUCGUCUAGAAUUUCAGUGGAUUGAGUAAAGAGAGAAGAAAAGAUGGUAAUUAAUUUUUCUUUUUUUUUUCUUUUCUGUUUAUAAUCGGGCCAAAUGAACUGGAUGUGGUGAGUUGAGUAGAGUAAUCUUUUAUUUUUGGUUGGAUUGGGCUUUAUAUUUAGGCAUUAGUAGAUAUUUUUUUUAAGUUUUAGAAUAAAUGGGACACUUACUCAAAAGUGUCCCAAACAUGUGUCCCUAUAACAUAAUUCUGUUAUAGUGGUGCAAUAUGUACUAUGCAGAGACAAAGCCAGGAUUCAAUCACGAGGAGGGCAAAAUAUAUACAAAUAAAAUUUUAGCAAAUAAAUAAAAUUUUAACUACUCAAAUUUUUAAUAAAAAAAUGUAGUGAUUAGAUAAUUAAUGUUAAAAAUAUUAAAUUUAUUUUUUUAAUUUACACUUGCUUAACUUUCAAUUAUUUUAUUUGCAUUAUUUUAUUCAAAUAACUUAAGAAUUUUACUAAAUCUAAUCAUAAUUUAGUUAUCAUUUAAUUUUUAAAUUUUUUUAAUAAAAUAAUGACAACCAAUGACUAAUAUUCAACAGAGCUCCUAAAUUUAGCAUAUAAUUUUAUUUAGUUGUAUAAAUUAGCUCAUCAAAAAUAAUUAGAAAGUUAAGAAUGUAUAAAUAAAAUAUUUAAAGUUGAAAGGACGUAUUUUAAAAUACACUAUAAUUAAGAGGUUCUUAGUAUAUUUUCACUUAUAAAACAUAUAAUUAAGUAGAGAGAGCUGUAUACUGGCGCUAAAAUUUUUUUAUAAAAUAGGCUCGUAUAUUUUAAAAAUUAACUAAAAAUUUAUGAACUGCCAAAGAACUAUAAAGUUAAUAUUGAAAAGUUAAUAUUGAAAAGUUAAGGAGGGCCGUAGCCCCUUUGGAUCUAUAUAUGGCUCUGUCCCUGGUACUAUAUAGCUAAUGAAGAUACAUGCACCAUGAGAAUAUUAUGAUUAUAAGAUUAUAUGUAAGUUGGUGAUAGGCGAGAAGCGCUUAAUAAGAUGGCGAGAAGCGCUACUGAGGAGCCCCUCCUCCCUUUGCUGGAGUUGAACACUUCAAAGAAAUUGGUGGAGGCCCAUCAACAAGAUGACGCCACUUUCGUUAGGACUUGUUUUAAUGGGCUUAAUGCUUUAUCUGGUGCAAUCUCAAUCUUUUUCUUCUUUUUUUUUAAACUUGUUUUUUGUUGCCAUUUAUUAGUGCAGAUUUUUAAGAAGAAGUAUAAUCUUGUUCGAGGAUCUUAAUGUAAUUAACAUCAGGUCUUUUUCAUCUCAAGGUAUUGUUGUCUUUUUUUAAACAUAAUUAUUAUUCUUAUUUUAAGUUUGACCGGGAUCAUGCAUAGAUAUGUAUGCCUCUCCAAGGUUUUCUUUUUUAGAAACAGUUUGAUUGCAUGCAAAAUUACAAAUUAUAUUAUUGUUGUAAUUAUAUGCAGAUUAAAAUUUGGUGUUUGAUAUGUUUGAAUUUAACUGUUACAGUUGGUAUUAUACGAGAAGUCUUAACUGUAGUAGUUUAAACUACGCUUAAACUGGUGCUGCAGUUCCAAUUGUUACAGCAUACUUUCUACUCUAUCCAACUAAAUAAAAUGUAAAAAAUUAUAUAUGAAUUUUCUUAACUGGACGUAUCUCUAACUGCACCAUAUAUAUAAUUACGUCAAAUCAAAGUGCCCUUAGCUUUUCCUUUUCUCGAGUAAAAUGGGUUUUUAAAGAAGAAAAAGUUAUGAACUGGAUUUCAAUGUCUUUUUUAUUUAUUUAGCUAAGGAAAAACAAAAAAAAUAAUAAUAAUAGCCAAUCGAUGUUGUUACAUUCAUUGUUCAUCAACCGGUGUUAUUACAUUCUUCUUCUUCUUUUUUUCCUUUACUUCUACUGUUUUAUUUCCUCGUAUUCCAGUUUUUCUUUUUUUUUAUUGCAUUAUUUAAACUCUAUCAUUUCAUUAUAUUUUCUCCAAAAAAUCACUACAUAAGCACAAUAGGUUCUUUAUAUAUAUAUAUGGGCCAUGGCUACUAUUCUAUUAUGAGUAUUGGAGCCCUCGUACUCAUAAGUUAUUUUUAAUGAUAGAGUUUCCGAAUCGACGAUCCAUUUCGUUAAAUAUGAUCUAGAGUAUUUGAAACUUCUAGAAAAUAAAUUUUGUAAAUUUUCAAAAUCAUAAUAAAGUCCAUCAAGUGGGCAUAAAAUGAACGGUUAAAAUCGAACGACGUCCUAAAAAAGGAUGAUCGGAUCCUUCAAUUCAAGAUCGGAGUUAUUGAUCUUUAUUUAUGUAGUGAAUAGAAUUUUCUAUCAAAAAUUCAACAAAUUUCGAUUCUUUUACACUGUUAAACUAGCAAGUAUCCCAUACCGGCCGUUAAAAAUUGUCAAAUUUGUGACAUCUUUAUCGUAAGGUAAAUGAUGUCGAAAAUUUAUAAAAUUUAAUUUCUAGAAGUUUUAAAUGCUGUAAAUAACGUUUAACAGUGUGGAUCGUCGAUUCGGAAGCUCUAUCAUUGAAAACAACUUAUGAGUACGAGGCGAUCGUACUCAUAAUAGUAUAGUAGCCAGACCAUAUAUAUAUAUGUAUAUAUAAUAUAUAUAUAUAUGUAUAUAUAUAUAUAUAUAUAUAUAUGUAUAUAUAUGUAUAUAUAUAUAUAUAUGUAUAUAUAUAUAUAUAUAUAUAUAUGUAUUAUAUAUAUAUAUAUAUAUAUAUAUGUAUAGUUAAAUGCCAUAAUAGGUCUCUGCAAAUAUAAUGAAUUGCAAAUAUAUUCCUACAAAAUUCAACUUUCAUAUAUUGUUUCUACAAAAGUUCUAAUAUUUUCAAAUAUGUAUCUCUAGUUUGUUACCGUUAGAGAACACUUCGAGAACUAUUUAUGUUUUCAAUUUUACCAUCACAAAUGUGCCCAUUCAAAAGCCACAACAGUAUAAUAGAAGAGGGACAAAAAUAUCAAGUUAUCUUAUAAACUAACCAGGAUUAAGUAUUUAAUAUAUGAUUAGCUAAAUUUUUCUAACGUAUUCUAACGACAGAAACAUAUUUAAAAAUAUUAAAACUUUUAUAAAGACAAUAUAUGAAAAUUGAACUUUAUAGUAAUAUACUUGUAAUUUACUAUAUUUACAAGAAGCUGUAUGAAUUUAACCGCAUAUAUAAUGUGUUGAGUACUUAAAUAAUGAGUACGAUUCUAUGUAAAGAGAUAUUUGUGAUAUUAACCACAUUCCAUACUCUCCAAGAUAGAAUUACAAGAUAGUCCUUAAUGUUUUUUUUUUUUUUUUUUUGGCGCUUUUGUUUUAUAUAAUAUAGGAGUUGGACUACUGUCAAUCCCCUAUGCANUCCUUUUUUUUUUUUUUUUUUUUUUUUUGGCGCUUUUGUUUUAUAUAAUAUAGGAGUUGGACUACUGUCAAUCCCCUAUGCACUUUCACAAGGAGGUUGGUUAAGCCUGCUGCUACUCUUCAUUGUAGCCAUGAUCUGUUGCUACACCGGCCUGCUCCUUCAACGGUGCAUGAAAGCCGACCCGAGAAUCCGAACCUAUCCGGACAUCGGCGAGUUCGCAUUUGGCUACUUGGGAAGGAUAUUCGUGUCGGUCUUCAUGUACUUGGAGCUGUACCUCGUCGCGAUCGGGUUCUUGAUACUAGAGGGUGACAACUUGGAUAAGUUGUUCCCCGACACUAAGCUUAUCGUCGGAACUGUCAGCAUCGCGAGUAAGCAGUUGUUUGUCAUGCUAGUUGCGCUUAUAAUCUUGCCGACUACUUGGCUGCGGAGUCUCAGCGUGCUUGCUUAUGUCUCGGCCGGAGGGGUUCUUGCCUCAGUUAUUGUUGUGUUCUCCGUGCUGUGGGCUGCGACGGUUGAUGGGGUUGGAUUCGGUGAAAGAGGGAGGUUCUUGAACUUGAGCAGUCUGCCGACCGCUCUAGGGCUUUACACAUUCUGUUACGGCGGCCAUGCCGUGUUUCCGACGCUAUGCACUUCGAUGAAGGAUAAGAGUAAGUUCUCAAAGGUGAGUAGCACAAGGAGCUAGCAUUCCAUUCAGGGUGCGUUUGGUCCACGUUUUUUUUUUAAAAAUUUCUAGUAAUUCAAUAAAAAUAAAAAAAUAUGACGGUGUUUGAUUAAACGUACUAAAUAAUCUAAUUGGUAAUAUUAGAUUUACUUGGGAAUGAGAUUUAUCCUAAAAUACUAAUCUCAUUUUCUUGAGGGAGGAUAAAUAUCCUCAUAUUAAUGGAUUGGGAUAAUCAUAAUAUAUCUAAUAUCUUUCUUUCUCCCUACCUGUCGGCUAGUUGGUAUUAUUUUUCUUUACACUCUAAUCUCAUAUUUCCCUCUAAACUUAUCUUUUUCUCUCUAAACUUCAACUCUUUUUCUCUCUCUAAACUAAUUUCUCUUUCCCCCUCUUUUCUAAAUUCUCAACUCUCCCACUCCCUCUAACUUCUCUCUCUAAUCUAUGUUAUCUCUUACUUUUUUUCUAAAAAGAUGUUGAAAUUUGUGGUAGUAUUAUCUAAAAUUAAUUUAAAAAAAUAAAUUAAUUGUAUAUUUUUUGUAAUCUUAAAUAAUAUGACUAAAUAAUAUGACUGUGCGAACCAAACACAGGAAUGCCACAUUCUUAGUAAUAAGAUGAAUAUGAAUAAAAUUCUCGAAUAUUUUUUUUAUUUCUAGUAAUCUUUUAUAGUGCGAACCAAACGCGCCCUAAGUGCUAUACAAUUUUAAGUAGCAAGGGUACAGUAGGUGAUCUCACAGCAGUUCAGAACAGAACCCUUAAAUUACCACUGAAACUUCUCAACAAGAAAAAAAAAGAAAAAGAAGAUGAUAUGGUAUUACUUAACCUAGUGGCGAAUUUUGUAACCAAUUAUUGAACUUUUUGGUCAUCUCAUGACCAGAGAAAGAUGAUUUCAGAAGUUAAAUGCUCUGUUUGUUAUAUGUCUCCAUGCCCAUUGAAUUGAUUCUUGUUUGAAUUUUGUGUCAUUAGUCUUGCUUAGUUGAUUCUCCUUUUUCUCAUUGUAGGUGUUACUGCUAUGCUUUAUUACAUGCACUCUUAACUACGGAUCGAUGGCAAUUUUGGGCUACCUCAUGUACGGCGACAGUGUAAACUCUCAAGUGACUUUGAAUCUCCCUACAGGAAAGCUUAGCUCGAAGGUAGCAAUAUACACCACACUAAUCAAUCCGUUCUCCAAGUAUGCCUUGAUGAUUGCCCCGGUCGCAACUGCAAUCGAAGAAAGAUUGAUCACGGUCAACAAGAGAUCUCCUACGCUGUUGAUUCGAAGCCUCGUGGUUCUUAGCACCGUGGUUAUAGCCUUAACCAUCCCGUUCUUCGGCUCGCUUAUGGCGCUCAUUGGCUCAUUACUAAGCAUCAUAGUGUCUAUGAUGCUGCCCUGUAUAUGCUACAUCAAGAUAUUUGGCGCGUCACAAGUUCGGAAGGUCGAGCUAGUACUCAUCUCGGGGAUUUUGUUGACGGGUACUUUGGUUGCUAUAACCGGUACUUACGCUUCGCUGAAGGAGAUUAUUCUUCAACUCUGAAUAUUUCUGCAGGAAAUUGUCGAGGCUUCGAAUUGUAUUUCUCAUGUCCUCUGUCAAAGCUGUAUUAUGUAUUUUUUGCUUUUUAAUAAAUGAGAAAAUCAAUCGAAACAAAUUACAUCGAGCAGAUUGCAGGAAUCAAAAUCGUACGUUCGUUUCGAUUGGAAAAAUUAUAUCAACAGUGUCCGUUCUUUUCAUGUUCAAGUUCAAUCCAUUCAGUGCCUCCGCGAUACUGUCAAAACCAAUACAAGAAUCAUCAUCCCCGGAAAUAAACCGAUAAAUCCUCCCUCCCACUUCGACGCAACUCUCCCCCGCUACCUUCUUCAACCCCUCCAUUCUCAUCACUCGCCUCAUCUUCGCAGCCUCCUCCCAUGAGCCGACCUCUGAAUACAUAUUUGCGACCAUCACGUAGUUCCCGCUCCGUCUGGGCUCCAAUGCUAGCAGCUUUCUUUGCACCUCUUCCCCGAUUCCGUGACUAUCUUUGGAACUAUGUAACUGGCAAGCGCUUAGCAGAGUUCUCCAUACAACCGCGUCAGGCUCAACGGGCAUGCUUUUAGUAAAGUUGUAAGCUUCAAGAAGGCGACCGUUGCGACCUAGUACAUCGACCAUGGCGCUGUAGUGUGUCAUCAUCGGCUUGAUACCGUAUACAUGCUCCAUUUCAUGGAAGAGUCGAUACGCCUCAUCCGCCAAGCCCGCAUGCGAGCAAGCACAAAUAACGCCCAGGAAGGUCACGUAAUUGGGUUCGACGGAAGUGUUCUUCAUCUGCGAGAAAAGCGUAAGAGCUUCUUCCGGGGCGCCGUGCUGAGCGAACCCGAGAAUCAUGGCGCUCCACGUCCACACGUUCCUCACUGACAUCUUCUCGAAUAAGCGGCGGGCGUAUGUUAUCGCCCCGCAUUUGGCGUACAUGUUGACAAGGGCGGUGCCUAACUGAAGAGUGAACUCUCUCUCAAUUUGUAAUAUCUGGCCGUGAAUCCACUUUCCGAAAGUCAAGCACCCGAGCUCGGCGCAGGCCGAGAGCAGGACGAGGAACGUGGGCUGAUCCAGCUCGAACCCGGAGUCCACCAUCCGGAAAAACAAUCUGAUGCACUCCUCGGGCGUCGAAUUAUCGACGCAGGCGGAUAACAUGGUGUUCCACGAGACCACGGUUCUGAGGGGCAUAUCGUCGAACACCUUACGAGCGUCACCCAAACGGGCACACGACCCGUAGAGCAGCAUGAGGGUGUUCUGCACGUAGACGACGAAAUCGACCCCGUUCUUCACGGCGUCGGCGUGGGCCUGGGCGCCGGAUCGGAGGUCGCGGAGUUGGGCGCAGGAUUUGAGGACGAAGGGGAGGUUGAGCUCGUUGGGGCGGAGGCCGCGGCGGCGCAUGAGGAGGAAGAGGCCGAGCGCGCGGGAGGGUGAGUCCGCUUGGGCGCGGGCGCGGAUGAGGAGGUUCCAAGCGGAGCGCGAGGGGAGGAGGAGGGGGGAGUGGAGGAGGAGGGUUUGGGCGUGGGCGUGGGCGUGGGCGUGGGCGUGGGAGAGCGCGAGGACGCGGAGGAGCUCGGCGGCGAGGAAGGUGCGGCGGCGGAGGACGCCGGAGGUGAGGAGGUGGGCGUGGAGUUGGAGGAGGUGGGAGUGGGAGCUGCAAGAAGAGAGGAGGGAAUGGUAGCAGUGGUGAGUGCCGUGGGUUGCACUCGCGCUCAUGGGCCGAGCCAUGUAAAUCAACAAAGAAAGUAAAUUUACACCUAUUCAUUCUAAAAUUUAGAAUUAAUUUUUAAUAUUUGAAAAAUAAUUUUUAUAAAAUAAAAGUCUCCUUCUUGAAGUAUACCAUCUAAGUUAUUUUUUUUAUUCCGUACAGAGAUAUCAUGUACCGAACAUUUAUUUAUUUUCAAUUUUCAAUCUCAUAAUUCAAUACUAGUAUUUAUUUUUUAGAGACCAGAUAAUUAGAUUAAAGAGUUUUAGAUGGAUAAAAUAUGGGAUAACUUCAAAAAACCCACCCUGUGGUUUCCAACUUUCUCACUUUAGUACCAUGUGGUUUAAAGUGUAUCAAUUUACCCCCCUGUAGUUUUGUUUUUAUUUUUUCUAUAGUUUUUUUCUUAAUAUUUCGUUAAAUUAUAUGCAAAAAAACAUCAGAUAUCCAUCUAGAUUUAUCGAAUAUUUAUUUUAGGACCCUUUAAUUUUAAUUUUGUUACUGAUUUGAGAAAAAAAAAAUAAUAAAAUUGAUAAAAAAAAAAGAGAAAAAUGAAACCACAGAUUGAUACACUUUAAACCAUAUGGUACUAAAGUGAGAAAGUUGAAAACCACAUGGGGGUUUUUGAAGUUAUUCCAUAAAAUAUCUAUAAAUUUUUAUGCAAAUUAAUCAUAAAUAUUAGAAAAUAGGGAAAAUCAAUAUUAUUCAAAUAUAAUUUGAGUUAUGUAUCUACCAUUUCAACACAAUUUCACCUAAAUUUUUUCAUUGAAGCCAGAUUAAAAAAGGUAAUUAGCAAAAUAAUUAAUUACAAACGUAUAAAUUCCGUAUUCGUUCGCGCCACGUAAAUUUAGCAUCCGUGGCCCCUCGCCACGCCAUGGCACUACCUCGUCUUCUUCGCCCAAAUCCCUCCCUCUCCACUCUCCGCCAUUACCAACCCCCCCAUCCUCGCCUCCUCCUACACUCCUCCAUCAUUCCUCUCAUAUCCUCCUCCUCUUCCUCCUCCAAGACCCACCUCCUCCAAAUCCACGCCCACCUCCUCCGCACCUCCCUCCUCUUCCACGACAUUUCCAUCUCCUCCGCCUUCUUAUCCCGCGCCGCCGCGCACUCCGCCUCCUACUCCCUCCGCCUCUUCGACCAAAUCCCUCGCCCCACCAUUUUCCACUGCAACGCCAUGUUACGAGCCCUCUCCGAGAGCGCCUCCCCGGAGCAAACCCUCGUCUUCUUCAAGCGCAUGCAGGACCUCGGCGUCCGCGGUAACCCCUUCUCCUCCUCCUUCGUUCUCAAGGCUUGCGUGAGAACCUCUUCGUUCUCUCUUGGGAAACAGGUCCACGGUAGGAUUUUGCGACGUGGGCACCACUCCGAUUCCCUCCUCCUUACCAAUCUAAUAGGUAUUUACGACUCGUGCGGGAGCGCAAGCGACGCGCGCAAGGUGUUCGACGAAAUGGCCGAGAAGGACACCGUCGCGUGGAACGUUUUGAUCUCUUGCUACGCGCGAAACCGACGAACUAAAGAUGCUUUGCAUCUGUUUGACGAAAUGCGGGACCCGAAAUAUGGGGCCGAACCGGAUGAUGUCACCUGCCUGCUCCUGCUUCAAGCAUGCGCGAACUUGGGAGCGCUUGAUUUCGGCGAGCGGAUACGUGAGUUUGCCGAGGAACAUGGUUAUAUCGAUGCAUUGAAUGUGAGGAAUUCGCUUAUCGCCAUGUACUCAAAAUGCGGGUGUGCCAAUAAGGCGUACCGAGUGUUCUGUGACAUGCCUCAAAAGAACGUUGUUAGCUGGAGUGCGAUGAUUUCUGGUUUGGCAGUGAAUGGGUUCGGAAGAGACGCCAUCGAAGCAUUUCGAGAGAUGCUAAAUGUGGGCGUCGCUCCUGAUGAGCAGACGUUUACAGGGGUCCUCUCGGCUUGCAGUCAUAGUGGGCUGGUCGAAGAAGGACUGAGAUUCUUUGACAUGAUGAAAUUUGAGUAUGGUCUGGUCCCGAAUGUAUGUCACUACGGGUGCAUCGUCGAUCUAAUGGGCCGAGCUGGGUUGCUCGAUCGUGCUUAUGGUCUUAUAGUAAGAGAGAUGGGUGUCACGCCAGAUGCCACAAUUUGGAGAACUCUGCUUGGAGCUUGUAGGAUUCAUGGUCAUGUCGACCUUGGAGAGCGUGUAAUCUCUCACCUAAUUGAAUUAAAGGCACAACAAGCUGGGGAUUACGUUCUGUUAUUGAAUAUCUAUGCAUCCGCAGGAAAAUGGGAGAAGGUUGCAGAAGUUCGGAGGUUAAUGAAGGACAAAGGAAUUCAAACUACUCCUGGCUGUAGCUCGAUAGAAGUGAGCGGUGAGGUCCAUGAAUUUGUUGCGGACGAUGAUUUGCACCCGCGAAAAGCCGAGAUUUACGAGAAGCUUGAGGAGAUAUGUAAGCAGCUAAAGAUUGCGGGAUACGUAGCAGAUGUGGCUUCCGAGUUGCACGAUUUGGAUAUGGAGGGGAAGGAGAGUGCUUUGUCUUAUCAUAGUGAGAAGUUGGCCAUUGCUUUUGGUGUUCUCGUGACCCCACCGGGCAGAACAUUGAGAAUCGCGAAGAACCUUCGUAUUUGUGCUGACUGCCACAAUUUCAUGAAGGUGUUUUCUGGCGUUUAUAAUCGGCCGGUGAUUGUUAGGGAUAGGAGCCGGUUCCAUCAUUUCAAAGAGGGUCAUUGUUCUUGUAACGACUAUUGGUAGGCUAUUCCCAGCGUGGCUUGUCUAAGCCUCUGCUAACGGCGCAUCCUAUCUCAUGAAUAGCUUUAAGGACUUACUGGGGCAAAGAUGGAAAGAUUGAUAAGUUCUAGGCAGCUUUGUGAGGAUUCAUAGCAUAAUAAUGCUCUAAGAUUGCGAGUAUAUUGUUAAAGAUGUUAUUCAAAUGGAAGUUAUGUAGAAAACGGACUGUGUUUAUGGAUUUCGAUUAAUUUUGUGAUCCUUUUGAAGGGCUGAUAAGGAAAUGGAAGAUGAUAUUCAAAGGAAAGCAGAAAUCGGACUGUUUCGGGCACGUUCAAUCUGCAAGAAAUCAUUUGUUGAGGGGAUUUUGGAACAUCUUAUGUUUUGUGCUCAUUGCUGGUACCUGUUAGAGGCAACAUUCAUAACAAACAUAUUUGUUGCUAAAUGCCUUUCUCAGGGACUAUCAGUCAUUCGGAAGUGGCACUCUCUUCUCAAUAUUUCUCUACAUGAAAACAGCAUUAUUACGCCAUCUAGUUGAUCACACAGAAUAAUUUUUUGCUUUCUGAUUAAAAUUUGUUCUACUAUAAAUUGUUCCUUCAUUGCUUUGGUUUAUGUUUCUUAGAUCUCUCUGACAAAUCAUGUGACAUUUAAUUGUAUGCAGGUUGAAAAUCAACAAACUUGGUUGCUCUGAAUCCACCCUGGAGCUGCUGCUGCAAAUUCGCGUUAUCACAUCUGCGAUAUUGCAGAGUAAACCAUAAACAAUUAAUAGGAGAUGCAGAGUUGCUUUUUUUUCCCUUUUUUUUUUUGAAGUUUAAAAAGUUCUGAUUUUUCAGGGUUAUACUAGCUGGCAAAUGUUUGGAGUGGUCUGGUCUUGCACCUUGAAAAAACACCAUUGGAUGAAUCUGGUUCACCACGUCAGCUAUGGGGAGCCACGUCAUAUUAAAUAUAUAUAUUUUUUAACUUUUAAUAAGAUUGCAACUCAUUGGAUAAUUAGGAUUUACUAUAAUAAUUUCAAGUUUUUUAGUUAGUCAAAAGAUUACAGAUGGUAAAUAUUUUUCUAAUGAAUCAACCGUCUCUAGCGCAAAUGGCAAAGGAUUUGAUAAUUGGUAUCUGAGAUGUAAGUUCGAAUUAUAGUUGAUUCAUAUUUCUAGUUAAGUUUAUUUGUAAAUAAAAUAAAUGAAGUGGAUAGUAUACUAUCUAUCUCUCAAAAAAAAAAAAAAAAAAAUCAUAAGUCAUUUGGUAAGCUCUUAUGGGCUCAUGGAUUAAUGAACAUGCCAGAACCCACAUGGAAAUUGUCUAUUUUUUAACUUCAUAAAUACACAUUGAAUAACUUGAUAUGAUAAUAUUAAUAAAUGGCAUUGCCUAACCUCAUCCUCGAAUUCAACUUUCUUCUAAGUUAUUGGAGUGAAAAAAAAUAAAAAACUUCACUGAUGAUAUCUUUCCGGAUGCAAGACAGCGUGGAAGAGCUGGUACAAGACUAUAUAAAAUAAUUUUCUCUCGAUAAAAAUAAAUUAUUUUUUCUUAGAGAGAAAUGAUUCGGUACUUUUUUUAAAAAAAAAUAAAAAAUAUCUUAACCGUUGAUUAAUAGAAGGUAAAAAUGUAACUUUAAUACUUAGCAGGUAAAAGGAUUAUUUUAUUCAAGAUUAGUUUGGUAAUUAAAUAAUAUAAUAUUUAAAGAAAUUUUUAAUUGAGGUCCUAAAUUUAUGCAUUAAUUAGCACUAACUUAUAAAGUUAAUUGAUUAAUCAAAUUUAUGCAAUUAUUAGGUAUUAAAUUAGGAAUUUACUUUAAAUGUUUUAGUGUUUCUCAAAUUAUGCAUUAAUUUAAAUUAUAGAAAUUUUAGAAAUAGUUUUAUUUCUAAAUACGAUGAAUUUAAAUUUUAAAAAUUAAAUACUUAAAAUUUAAAAAUAAAAUUUAAAUUAGAGGAAUUUCAUAUUAUUAUUUAAAAACUAAAUUUCUACAAAGAUUUAAAAUACAAUUUAUUCGCACAAGUUUAAAACGUAAUGCAUUAAAAACUUAGAAAGUAAGAUUUCUACAACUAAAUUUCUCUAGAGGAAUUUCAUAUUACUAUUUAAAUUUUAAAUUCAAUGAUUUAAAAACUAUAUUGAACCGAUUGAUUUGACUGAUCAGACUUUGACCUAUUCUAUCAAGAAUCUGAUUUUAACCUAUUGAACCGAAUAACAUUAAGAACAAUUUGGAACCGGUAAAAAUAAUAAAUAUUUUAAACAAAAUGAUAAUUUAACUAUUAGAGCUAAUAAAUAUUUUAAAUAUAAUUUUAAACAUAUAAAUUUAAAAGAUUAGAAUUAUUGGUGAGAAAAAAAAUAGUUAGGAAUUUGAAUUCAAAUUUAACUAACAAUCACAAAACUUAUUUCCGAACUCGAAGGAUUUCAAAAAUCCAUAUCCAAAUUCAAAACUUACCAAUUUUUCGAAAUCCAAAACCAUACCUAAAUCAAAAGACUAGAAUUCAAACAAUUAUUUCUGUUUACCAUAUUUCAAAGUAUUUAUAUGAAACUUAAAUUUUUAAAAUAUAAAUUUGAAUAUAAUAUUAAAUUUUAAAUUUAAAAGUGAAAUUUAAAUUUGAGAAAUUUCAUAUUACUAUUUAAAGUUUAAAUUCAAUGAUCAUAUUAUCAAAUCAUUUGAAAUUUUUCUUAUAUGAAAUGCCAAAUUAUGAAAGAAAAGAUAGAGAGAGAAAAAGAAAACAAAGAAAAAAUAAAAAUUUUGAAAAUAUAGUAGAUGUAAAGUGACUAAAUUAUCUAUGUAGACAAAAAUAUCCCUUUUUGAGGUAUCUGGUAACCGGUAUCUCUCCCAAAGUGAUCUGCUAUUGCAGGUUAUAAUUUUAAAAAAACUAAAUCUGAAUCGUUGAAUACGUGUGAAUGAACGGUAACCAAAAAAAAAAAAAAGUACAGAAGCAUUACUCUUCUCUCUAAUAUAUGUUUUUUUUUUUUCCUUCUCUCCUCACAUUUUUUUUGUCUUAUUUUCUCUACAUUCAAACAAAAAGCUCCACUAUUAUUAUUAUUAUUAUUAUUAUUAUUAUUAUUAUUAUUAUUAUUAUAUACAAUUUUUUAAAAUCUAAAAUAUUAAAUCAAGUUAUCGUGUUUAAAAACACAUUCCCAACGACCGAAUACUUCUUCGGUGCCGUAUGCUCGUAAGAAUCGCAAAAGUCAAGACAACAACCAUUGGUUGGAUAUAUAAACACCCACAAAUAAAUAAUAAACACAAAUAUAUACACCAAUCAAUGAGCAAACAUGUAACAUUUACUACCAGUUUAAUAUGCAUUCGAAAAUUGCACAUAUAUAGAAUUAAAAAAUAAAGGGCAAUUAUAUUCAUGCACCGUAAUUAGUGACCAUUACCUACAUUUUCCUACUAUUUAUUGCCAUAUCACCUUGCCUAAUUUUCCUGAUAUAACGUCAUCAUCUCUCCAACCACGCUUCCUAAUGGCCGGUGAUCGAUGCAUUAUGGAUUUGUUACUGAUCCUCUUACACACGAUUUUCGUAUUUUUUGCAUACAACGUGAACGCACACCUCUCAUCACGCGGCAACAAAUCACGUACACGGCACCUGUGAUUCUCUCUAUGUUCGACACAUGGCACAUUCCCAUUCCCCCUCCUUGUUUUUUCCUUUUUCUCCUCAUCCACUUAAAUUGAUUUCACACGUGGAAUAUGCCAAAUCAUAUUCCCAUCUCAAUCAUGUAACGUCGACCAUAAAUAAAUAAAACGACCCCCCACCUUCCCUUCUCCAAUUAUUGUUAUAUAUAUAUAGUAAGCGUCACGACUCGAUAAGUCCAAUUCAAAGAGGUUAAGAAAAAAGAGCUUCUGCGUUUCGAAAAAGCACUAAACAACUAUGAGGAGCCCAUCCCUUCUCUCUUUGGCCCUACUGCUUCUCGCAGCAGUUGUGUGUAAUGCACAAGAUUUCGACUUCUUCUACUUCGUUCUACAGGUACAUAUAUAGUUAAUUACUCUUAUUGUUGUUUUAGAUAUAUGCACAAGAUUUGAACGUGCACUAAUAAUGGUUGUGUUGUUGUUGUGUUGUAGUGGCCGGGGUCUUACUGCGAUACUAGGCAGAGUUGUUGUUAUCCGACCUCCGGCAAGCCGCCCGCGGACUUCGGCAUCCACGGGCUUUGGCCAAACUACAACGAUGGAUCGUACCCGUCCAACUGCGACCCCGAUAGCCCCUUCGAUGAAUCGAAGGUUAUUAUUAUUGUUUUGGAUUUGGUUUUUUUUCUUAAUUUGAUAUAUAUAUAUGAUUUUGAAAAGUUGCCGGUGUGUUGUAAUGUCGCUCUUCUUCUGAAAAAGAUAGUAAUAAGGAAAGAAGCUUAAAAUAGAAGAACCGCCUAAAAUAUCAGUGUUGUUUUUGAAAAAGAAGGAUCAGUAAAUUAUUAGCUCACAUCACCUAAAAUUUUAGGCAUAGGCCAAACAAUUUAGAUAGUUUCGAUGCGAAACAUUGUUAGGAUAAUUCUUGAGAGUAAUCCGAAACUACAUCGGCGCCUAAAACAUAUUCUUUUUAAUAAAUUAUUUGUAGAUAAGCGACCUGAUAGGGCGAAUGCGAACGAAUUGGCCGACCCUCGCAUGCCCGAGCAACGAUGGCGUGAAGUUUUGGGGGCAUGAGUGGGAGAAGCACGGCACCUGCGCCGAGUCCAUCCUCGACGAGCACAGCUACUUCCAAACUGCUCUUAACCUCAAGAACCAGUUGAACCUUCUCCAAACUUUACAAAAUGCAGGUAAAAUUAGUUUCACAUCGGUUUGUAUAUACGUAGUCUCCAACCGACUCAACGCUAUGUCUUAUCAUUGAAAAUCUCAGUAGUUUCUCUUCAAAUUCAUCGAAUUUUCGUACUUUUCUUAUGAUGAUGAUAGAUGUACUCAAAGUGUUUGAAUCUUGAACACCUGUUGUUAUAAUUGAAGGCCUACUAAGACCAAACUAAAACUAAGUUAAGAAUUUGGAGUAAUGCUUCCAUAAAACAGUUUCCAUCCGAUUGCAUUUCCUCAUUAAAAAAUGACCAUAUUCCAUUAUAAUGAUCUGACCCGCUAAUCUCUAUCUUGAAUCGUACAAACAACAAAGUCAAAAAAUUAAGAAAAAAUUUUACCACGUACGAAUGAAUAUUAACUAUAUUUUUAUGGGAAACAACGUACAACGCAGGGAUCGAGCCGGACGGUGGAUACUACAGUUUGAGCAGCAUCAAAGAGGCUAUAAAAGAAGGAACUGGUUACACCCCAUUCAUCGAAUGCAAUGUCGACGAGUCGCGGAACAGCCAAUUGUAUCAGGUUUACUUCUGUGUGGACACUUCAGGUUCCCAGCUCAUUGAGUGCCCAGUAUUUCCCAGAGGAAGAUGCGAUUCAAGGAUUGAGUUCCCUGCUUUUUAGUAGAUAAGGGUGUGUUGGGUUGUAGUUUUAAUUAAUCAGUUGCUUGUAUUUCAUAAUAAGAUAAUUGGAGCAUUUAUUCCUGUAAUGAAAGAGACAUAUAUGGCAUCACUUUCAUAUUCCCUCAAUUUUUUUUUUUAAAAAAAAAAACAUUGUUUUCAUAUGGUUUAUUUCCUGUAUGGUUAAUUACUUUCGCCAGUAGAUACUUUUUUCGUAUAUACGGUUUCAGAUUAGAGGAUUCUCAGUUCAGAAUUACACCCAGAUUUUAAUGAUCUUCUCUAAUUUUCUUGCUUCUAUUGUUAGGCUUGAAAAAAAAAAAAAAAAGUGAAAUGUAAAUAUUAAAUUAUUAUUGUUUUUAAUUACAGCAUAAGAGUUUUACACUCUAUAAUAUGGACUGAAAGAAAAGAAGAAAAAGGAAAGGAAAGUUAUAAGAGAAAAUAAUUUUUUGCUGUUUGGAUCGAAACUGCAGGAGAGAGAAGAAAAAAAAAGAAAAAAGAGAGAGACAGAGAGAUAGAGAAAAAAUGGCCUUUUGUAAUGGUUUUUCUCUCUCCAACAGUGAAGAUAAAAAGGAGAAAGAAUUACUCUCUUUCUUUUUUUCCCCACUUACUUGAAGUAGUAGAAGAGAAAAUUAGUUUAUUUUUCCUUUUCUUUUAUUUCCUUAUCUCUUCUAUUCAUAGAGAAAUUAAUUGCUUCACGCUUUUGUUUUAUAAUGUAUAAUAAUGUACAAGAUAUUCCUAUCAAUGUAUCAUAGACCACGUGGGAGGAUCAUUUUUUCUCUCUCUCUCUCUUUUUUUUCUUUUUUUUUUUACUGUGUUGUUUUGAGUUGUCAUAAGAUGUUAAAAUGGGUCUAUGUUAUAAUAUAUUACUGAUUUCAUCAAGUAUAAAAUUUUAAUUGGCAACACUGUUGUAUACACAUAAAAUUGUAGCAUCCGUAAAAUUUAAAAGAUUAUAGGGAGAUUCAAAUAGAUACAAAUGAAUAAUAUGGGAUCCAGAUCAUUUUUUACCUAAUAAAAAGAAAAUUAAUUUACGUACAUGUAAUGAUCAAAAGAUAUAGCGCGUUUUUCUUUUUCGAAAACAUUUAUCUUGGUGGUCCAACGGUCUUGAAAAAACAGUGCCUUAUUUUUAUCAUUUUUUACAUCUUUUUUCAACGAGCCAAAGACAUUUUAUAUCCCAAGAAAAAGAGACCUCUUAUUGACGAAAUAUGGCCCUCACAUUGGAUCAAAUUACGUACGAUUUGGUCGCGAAAAGGGCAUUAAUCCGAAAAAAAGCAACACAUAGCGUAGAAGAAACCGGAGUGUCCAAAAAAAAAAGAAGGCAAGGUGCGUUUCGCAAACAUAAUAAUAGGAGAAUUAUUAUCUUCUUUUUUUUUUUUUUUUUUUUGAGAGAGAUAGUUAGCACGCUACCCGCUUCGUUUAUUUCAUUUAGAAAUAAACUUAGCUGGAAAUGUAAAUCAACUAAAAUUCGAACUUGAGUUUCGGAUACCAACCACUAAGUCCUUUGCCACUUGCUUUAGGGACAAUCGGUAAUAAGAAUUAUGAUUGUUUAUCAUAAACAUAAAAUAAGAGCUAUGAUUUUUUUGAGAGAUAGGUAGCACGCUACCCGCUUCGUUUAUUUUAUUUAAAAAUAAACUUAGCUAGAAAUGUGAAUCAACUAGGAUUCGAACUUAUGUCUCGGGUACCAACUAUCAAGCCUUUUGCCACUUGCUCUAGGGACGGUCGGUGUUUAGCUAGAUUAUUAUUGAAAAAGAUUCGAUAGUUAAGUGAAUCUACCAUUUGGUUUGCGAGAGAGAUAAUUUAUUUGCUGCGCUUCAUAUCUUUUGUCUCUUCUUAAAGUUUUAGGCACUAUAAUAUUAGAAAAUUACAAAUCAUUUCUAGUACAAGUGACAACUUAAUUAAUUUAUAUUUUCAGUGACAUUUAUAAAAAAAAUCUGUACUCUAGCGUUUGAGAACUUCUAUCAAAUACAAACUCUUGUUCCAGCUUUUCCAGAUCUAAUCAGCAAUAAGAGUUUGAUCGAUAGGUGUCACUUCAUAUGCCAAGAAAGAGUUUGUUAACCAACCCAAAUGUCUCAUCCCAAGAGUGCACGAAAUAUGGGCAAUCACCUGCUAACUCUAGGAUGUUACACUUUCAAUCACCAACCCUUUUUAUUUAUUUUCCUCAUCCAAAACAUAAUAUAGGUAUGUAUUUAUGUUCAUCCCCAACCACAAAUAUUAAUUUGUCCCCCUAGAAUGUUCCUUGGGAACCCAUUUCCAUUUAUAUCUUUAUUUUCUUUCGCUUUCUGUACAAGUAGACGUCUACUAUAAAUAUGUCAUGAUUGAACUAAAAAAAUUAAACAAAUAAAGAUACAAAUGUACGCGCACGUAUCUACAUGGACCGGGAUAUACCCGAUUUUUGUUAAUAUAUGUUCUUAUGUAGUUAGGAGGAAACUUUACAAAAUAGUUUAUUAGUAUGUCUUUCAUUAGAACCAAACUAACUAUGUCUUUUUUUCUUUUUCUUUUUUUUGAUGAGUGAGUAGUGGUAAGUGAAAGUUCGUCGGACCCAACCCAAUCUUGGCCUGAUUUAGUUACCACGGAAUUGGCCCAUUUUUGCGUGGAUCAUAGAUUCAACAUAGAAGCGUAAGCGCGUAACACACACACACAAAUGGGUCGGAUCUAGAGAGGGUUUCGUAAUUGGUUUUAUUAGUUAUAUUAGGCCGCCUCGUUGACAUCCCAAAGUAUGUGAUUUGAAUCCCAAAAUAUUCCAAAUUACUUUUAUAAGCAACAUGACUCGGAAAAGAUAUACAAACAAUUCGUGAACUCUACCACUUUUGUAAGCAAACCUCCGAACUUUUAAUUCUGAUAAUUACACUCGUUAAACUCUUUCCUCUUUCUAAAAUAAAAUAUAAUACAACUUUUGGGUUAUUGGAUAUGAGGCUUGAGGACCAAUUAUCCCCAAGUAUCCAUUUUGAAAUCCUUAGAAGAGACCCAUUCGGCUAAUUAUGCGGAUGCUCGGAGCUUGUUACGCACAAAAUUGGUAGUUCGCUGUCGCAUGUCAAUUUUAUUUUUAUCCAAAAAAUUUAUAUUUUUUUAAAAAAUUAAAUAUAUUUAAUUUAAAUAUAAAAAAAAUAUUUAAUAAAUAUUUAGAUAAAAAUAAAAUUGACAUUUCCCACUAAAAUUUUAGCCGCACAUCAACCGUAGUGACCGCGUGACAGUGUAAUCGGAACGGCGCAUGAGACUCACCAGUGAAUUUCCUCAACAAGCUUUUGAUCUUUUUGAGGACUCGGGAGAUGUUUGACUGAAAUUAAGGCUCAGGCAAAAUGAUAUUCUGUUUUUUUUAUAAAUAUAUAUUGUUGAAUAUAAUUUUAUAUAUUAAAAAGUAUGUAGAUGAAUUUUAAAAUUAUUAUUUUUAAAAUAUGUUAUUAAUCACUUAUUCAGAUGCGUUCUAAGUUAACCAACAACAAUAAUAAUAAUUCUUCAACACAUCAAGUUAUAACCAACCGUCCCUAUAGCAAAUGGCAGAGGAUUUGGUGGUUGGUACCCGAGAUUCAAGUUCGAAUUCUAAAAAUAAACGAAGCGGGUAGCGCGCUAUCUAUCUCUUCUAAAAAAAAAAAAAAACACAUCAAGUUAUAUAAAAUUAGUGUUUAAAAACAUGAAAAUGAGCAAUGGAACUAAACAAGGUCUAAGUUUGUGACAAAAAACAUUAAUCUUAUUACUAGCUUAGCACAAUAUCUUUUUUUGGAUAAAUUUCAAAUACCACCCCCUGUGGUUUCAUAUCACUUUAGUACCAUAUAGUUUAAAGUGUAUCAAGUUAAUGUUAUGUGGUUUUAUUUUUAUAUUUUCGUCAGCUUCUCCGUUAAUAUUUCGUUAAAUUAUAUAUAAAAAACUUCAGAUAUCCAUUUAAAUUUAUCAAAUAUUUACUUUAAUAGCUUUUAGCUUUAAUUUUGUCAUUAAUUUAACAAAAAAAAUUAGUGAAAUCGAUAAUAAAAAGAUAAAAAAUGAAAUCACAUAGUACUAAAUUAAUACACUUUAAACCACUGAAUAUUAAAGUGAAAAAGUGUGAAACAAUAAUAAUGGUAUUUGAGGUUUUUCCUUUUCUUUUUCAUUUCUUUGUAGAUUUUAGGUCUUUUAACCAUUUACAACUAUUUCAAAGAAAAUUAUUUUUAAGAAUUUAAGCUUACGGUCACCAACCGAAUUUUCUCAAUAUCUUAUCGGCAUCCUUAUUAUAAAAAAUUAUUAUUAUGUAUAACAUAAUACACGAACCAAACACACUCUUUAUGCAUAUCGCCAUCUAAACUUUUAAAAUUCUAUACUUUUCAUCUAACUAACGAUAAAAGAAAAUAAUAAAGAACGCCAACAAUAUAAAAAAAGUAUAUUUUGUCCUCAAAAUUUAGUCUUAUAAUAUAUAAAUUAAUUUUAUAAAAUCUAAUUUUUAUAAUUAAAUAUUAUAAUUAAUUUUAUUUUAAAAAUAUUUUUUCUCCAUUAAAAAUCACUACCGUGCAAUAUAAUUAUAAUUAAGUGUUUAAACCAAAAGAAACGUAGGCGUUUAAACGGUUAAACCAAUAUUUUUUAAGAUAUAAUUUGGUGAUAAAAUUUUUAAGAAAAAUGUGGAUUUGGUGAACCUGAACUGAUCGGGACCAACCACCAAGUAGGUUGUUGCCUAGAAAAUCCCUCUCCAACCACAAAAGCAUUAAAAAUUUUAUUUUUCUAUAAUAUUAAUUUUACAAUCUAAUUAAUUAAAAUCAAUAUAAUAUAUUUUAUAUUAAAACAAUAUUUUAAAAUUAUUUGAUCUUGUUGUACUUCGUGCCACUUCGUGCCUACGAUGGUCAACGUUCUAUUAUCUCUAACGUUUUAUUAAAAUUAAAAUAAUAUUAUUAAUCGUAGCAUGAGAUGAGAUUGCUUUUUUUAAAAAAAAUUUAGUAUAAUAAUGUCUACAUAAUUUUAAAAUAACAAAGUAUUAAAAAUACCACCGCGUGUGUCGCGUAGCUCCAUCACGGUCAAACACAAUGUCAUUUUCAUCUAAUAAAUCAACCUAACAAACCGUAGAAAAAACAAAAAUCUCUUAUACACGGUACGAAGACUUAGGCUUAAGUCUUAAUUUGGUAUUGAAGCCUAUCUAACAUUAUUAGAUAAAAUAGAGUUGAGAAAAUAGUAUAGGACAUCAGAAAAUAUAUCGUAAUCGAUUCAUCGCCAUAUGCGGAACGUAAUAUUAUAUACGGAAACAAAUAAAAUAUUUUUCUAAUGUUCUUUUUCAUCGUACGUAACGCAAUCUCUCCGUAAUCCCAAACCAAACCUUAGUUUGGUAUUGACAUAAAUCUAACGCUAUUAGAUAAAAUAAAGAGAAAAAGUAUAUAGGGAUUUGCUUUUGUGUUCUCCGAUGGAACCGCAAAAAAUAUAUCGUAACUGACUAACCGUAAUAUGCGGAACGCAAUAUUAUGUACGAAAAUAAACAGUAUAUUUUUUCAUCGUCAUUUCUUACCGCACAUAACGCAAUCUUUCCACAAUUCCAAACGAAUCCUAAAUAUAUAAUAAUUAAUACUUACAUAAUCAAAAAUUUAUUUAUGUUUUAAAUUGAAAUUGUGAGAACAGUAUAUUAUUAACAGAAAAUAGUACGGUAAAAAACUAUUUUAUUUUUUAAAAAAAUACACCGACAAAUAUUUAAAUAUGUUUGUAUAUAUAUUUUUAAUUUUUUUCGCCUCUCACUUAAUAAGUAUAAAGAAAAAGAUUUUUUUUAAUUAUAUUAAAAUUUCUUUUCUACCGCUGAUUUUUUUGGGACGGUGUGACGGCGCGUCCUCCUUUUGCCACGUGUCAAAGGGAUAAAAAGGAUGCUGUGACAGGUGGACCAAAGUGGUCACCAAGUAAAAGGGGGGAAAAGUAUCUACUAUUCUCAAAUUAAUAACAUUAUUAUCAAAUUAAAAUAAAAAGUUAAAUAGAUUUUAAAAAAGAUUAAGUGGUUUCUCUGUAAAUUAAGAUCGUGCUUCGAUCGGAUUUUUAGUUUUACACUCGUUUAAUACUCAAUAGAAUAAAGUGAAGUUUCCCCUUGUGGUUUCACUUUUUCUCACUUUAGUACCAUAUGGUUUUAGGUGUAUCAAGUUAGUAUUCUGUGGUUUUACACUUUUUACUUUAGUACUCUGUGGUUUAAAGUGUAUCAAGUUAGUGCCCAAUGAUUUUGCACUUUCUCACUUUAGUACUCUGUGGUUUCGCACUUUCUCACUUUAGUACCCUGUGGUUUAAAAACUACAUGGUACUAAUUUGAUACAAAAAUAAAACCACAUGAUACUAACUUGAUACAAAAAUAAAAUCACAUAGUACUAACUUGAUACACUUUAAAUUAUAGGGUACUAAAGUGAGAAAGUACGAAACCACAUGGUACUAACUUGAUACGCUUUAAACCACAUGGUACUAGAAUAAAAAAGUACGAAAUCAUAGGGGGUUUUUGAAGUUUUUCCUAAAAUAAAAUUAUGGUUGUGAAUAAUAAUAUAGUUUAUCUUAUCUUUAUUUAUUUAUACAAAAUUCAAAGGAUAAUAACACAUAAAUAAAACAACUUGAAUAAUUAUGAUGCCCAAAUGUGCCUUCUUUUUGAUUCCCUCCCUUAAGAUGCCAAUAUUAUAUGCAUUGUGAUGCCAAAAAACGUACAUGAAUUAUACAAAGGUGAUAAGCACAAAUAAUUUGGUAAAAUAAUAAUAGAUGGGGAGUUCCUCAACUUUUAAUUAUUUAUUUCUCAUAUUAGCUAAACAUCUUUAUUCUCGAGCUUAUUCACACAUAUAUAUAUAUAUAUAUAUAUAUUCUGCUUUAUCUUCAAGCAAUAAAAAGUUAACUUGUAUUGAAAAAAGUUUUUUUUCCUUAUCUUGUUUGAAUAAUAAAAUUAAAUUGAGCCAGUUAUUGGAAAAGAGAAGACUUAACAUAGUAUUUUACCAAAAAAAAAAUCUUUUAUAAUUAAAGACUAAAGUAUAAUUAUAUAUAAAUAUAAUAAAAGUUUAAGGAUUGUUAGACUAAACGACAACAUUGAACAAGUGCACUAAUUUUAUAUAAUAAUAAAUAAAUGAUAAAUGCUAAAUCUGUAAUUUAAGAGGGGCCCUAACUCUACAACUACAUCAUAAAUAAAUACACUAAAGAUUAAUUUUUAAAAAAUCCUAGUGAAAUUAGUAAAUUCAAAAUUAAGAUGUGGUUUGUUGAAAACACCACAUCAGCAAUACGACUGUCCUAUUGCUGACUUUUUUCAUCUACAAGUCUCUAGGAUUUAUUCAACCUCUCUUAAAUUUUUAAUAAAAAUAAAAAAGAGUGAUUGAUGAGACAUAUGGAGUAAUUUUCAACAAAAAUUCUAUAGUCAACAAGAUAGUAAAAUUUUUUUUUUGAAAUAUAUAAAAAAAACUCUAUUUAAGAACAUAUUUUUAUAGUACAAUACUAAUAAAAUUAUAGAAUAAUUAAAUAUAAUUUUUUGAAUCAUAAAAUGGUGAAAUAAAUAGUGAACUGUAUUUGAGUGGAGAAGAAGAUGGAGGGUGGAGAUUAUAAGGGGCAAAUUAAAUUAAAGUCUGUUUGUUUAUGUAUUUAUUUAUUUGAAGAAAAAAUAUAUAUUUUUGAAAGGAGGGAGAGAGAAAAGUGAGAAAGAGGGUGCCGGGUCAAGUCUCUGGCGUAGACUCCAAGCUCCUCCUCCUUGUUCGUGUUCGAGCUCCUCUCCCCUCUCACCUGUCUCUUCCCUUCCCAAAAUAUAUAUCCAUCCAUAAACACCACGGACUCGAACCUUCUCCUUCUCUCUCUCUCUCCUCCGAAGUGCGCGCUUUCUCUCUCCUCGUUCUUCGAAACCCAAAGGUACCUCUCUCUCUCUCUCGCGCGCGCGCGCGCUCUACGAGGGUUUAGAUCGAAGCAAUGCUUCACAUCUCAAAUGGCGUUGACCACAUUCGGAUCUCACUGAAAGGUUUCGGUUGCACAAGCAGCCUCGUUCUCGGACUCACUUCGUCUCCAUCUCUGCGGCAUUUGAAGUCGAUGUCUUAGGCUCCAGCUUCGGAUUGAAGUAGAUUGUGUGAUUUGUUCUGCUUAUUUUGAUCCCCAAUCGCGUUUCCGAGUGUAUAUAUCUCUCCGUGUUUACUUUAUUGGAGUUGGUUUCGAUUAUUGAGGCGACUAUUGUGCUAUUUUUCACUUUUGGAAGGUGUUUCCUUAAUAUUUGGGUCUCAGGUGGCGCCAUUGCGUUUGAAUUAGUGGGUUUUAGUUUUGUUGAGUUGAUUUCGUUUUCGUCUUUGUUUACGAUCGGUUUAAUUUGUACAUCGUGCUGUGGUUUAACUGCUUUUAUCUUCUCACCUUCCUUGCUAAUUUACAUGACGUUGAUGAUCAUGCCGUUUCCCCCCCUUUUUUUUGGUGCGGUUUAGCGUUCAAAAUUGAGAUUUGUUGGUUAAUUCGUGUGUUCUCCCUCUUUGUAUUUCUCGAUAAUAUAAGUUUUUUUUUUUUAUUUGUAAUUUUGGUGGUUACAUCAUUUACUGGUUAGAUUCUUCAUUUAAUGCUUUUAUAAAUAAAUAAAUUAUAGGGGAAGAUAUUUUGGAUUGUCUUUGCUCCAGUCCCAAAUCUUUUAGAUUUCUCUCCUCGGAGUAAGGGAAUGAAUUCUUGUACCAAAAGACAAUAUGUUACCGUGUGAUAAUUUAAUUCUUGUUUGAAUAUGUUGCAUGCUGGACUCUCCAGAUAGUUUAAUUUGUUCUCAGAAUUAGAAAAUUAGGUUUAUUGAUUACAUCUUAGGGAAAGGGGGCGAAUGUGUGGUUUUGAUGUGCACUGAACUUCUUAUCCUUCCUUUACUAGCCGCAUAUAAUUCUCCUCUUCAAUUGACUGCGGUCUGGGGGUAAACACACUGAGGAAAAACAUACAUUAAAAAUGAAAUGAUUCUUGAUGAAUUAGUGGUGACUGUUUCUUCAUUUUUGGAACCACAAUUGCAGAAUACAUAUAUUAACGUCCUUAAAUUAUUGGCCGAAUUCUGAACAGUACUGUAGUUGAUGGUUUGCGUGCUUAUUUGCUUUCUGCAGGAUUCAUCUUACCAAGCGUAGAGCUCAAGACAGUUUCUGAGGAGUAACCUUUUAUGCUUCUCGGAGUUAAAUUCUUCGAUUAGGGUAUUCUCUCUCCUUGAUGUGUCCAGCCCUAAAAGGAACAUCUUUCAAUUGCAUGCUAUGAGAGUCAGUUUCACAUUUGGAUUGAACCGCUGGGAUUUAUCUACGAUACAAAAUCAUGCUCUAGAUCUAUGUACUUGCGUCUUGUUCAAACGCAUAUUGAAUACUAGUUAUUGGUUAUUCUGCAAGGUAUCUUGAAGAUGAUGAUGAAGAGAUGGUCUGGCGCUGUUGUUUUACUUUUUUUAUUCGUUUUUUUAAUUUUGAGGUAUGUGAUAAUGGAGAGCCCAUUAGCAGAAAAAUCUCUUCAAAAAAUACUCUACCGUAAUAUUUCGGAUCCUCUUCAUUGGUUGAAUGUCCCAAACCCGCCUGCAGUUCUUAAUCCAGAGAAUGCAUCACAAGUUGUCUCAACUAGCGUCUUAUUCUCCCAUAUUUUAGCUCCUGGAAAUCUUAGUAACGGAGAAUCAGAAAUGCUGCAAUCUUGGAAUCAUUUGAAGCAAUUGAUGAAUCGUACUGAGGGGUUACCUAAUGCAGUUGAUGCUAUCAAAGAAGCUGGGAUUGCAUGGGAAAGCCUCAUGGCCUCAGUUGAAGAUGCAAAAUUGGUCGGCUCUGGAAAUGGAAGUGUUUACCAGAAAGUGAAAGAGAAGCAGUGUCCAUAUUCAAUUUGGAGGAUGAAUGCUUCUGAAUUUGGUGGUGAUGUCAAAUUAAAGAUACCUUGCGGACUGGUUCCGGGUUCUUCAAUAACCGUCAUUGGCACUCCUGGUGGUAUUCUGGAUAACUUUCGGAUCGAGUUAACUGGAACUGCACUUCCAGGGGAACCCGAUCCUCCAAUAAUAUUGCAUUGCAAUGUUCGCCUUCUUGGUGAUAAACUCACGGAAGAUCCGGUGAUAGUCCAAAAUACAUGGACCGUAGCUGGCGACUGGGGUCCUGAGGAGCGUUGCCCUUCAAAAGGUUCUGAAAACAGUAAAAAAGGUAUUUAGAACUGAACUUAGAUUUCACUGACUUAAAUUUGCAAAACGGAUGAGGAGCAUCUUUCUUUCAACUUUUAUCUUGUUAUGGGGCCGGUUAGAACUAAAAUGGAUGAGGUUUGCUGAUUACGACUGUUUUCUGAUAAUUACCAGACAGUUGUCUGAUAAUAACCAGACAGUUUGUUUGGACGGAUCUGAUUAUAUGACAGGUGUCAUUAUUUUAUAAAAGUGCUUCAAUUAAAUGGAUUAUUAUUUCUGCUGUUAGAGAGUAUAACAAUGUUGGCUGUAGCAUGGAUGAAAAAUUGAAAAGAUUAGCAGAUAAAUUACUAAAAUGGCUAUUAGGAUAUAGUUGUCCUUUUGGAGGACUACAAUGUUAUCUAUUUAGACAAAGUCAAGGAUGUUGCAAUUUUGCUUCAAGUAAAUUAUAGAAUCCAUUUGUUGAAGGUUCAUAUUAAUUAGAACAAAAAGGGCACAACAGCAGUUUGCACAUAGUUUGUUGACAUUCUUUUACACUAUCCACAUUUACUAAAUUGGUCCAGCUUAUUGAAAACUGCCGCUAAACCUUGAUCACCAACAUGACUUGCCAUGCACUCAACCACUAAGGUGGCAGCAAAGGAACGAGGGCCAAAUUUGGGGCUCAAUAUCUGACUAGUUUUUUCAUUGGAAAACAUGUUGCCUAUGUGGUUCGUAUUGGAAGGUUUCUCUUAGCACGUAGCACCUAUGAGAAAAAGGAUUCAAGUUUGUUGCAUGAUUGCAUUGGUAAAUUUUUUGUUGCCAACUUGGUUCAUCAAAUAUCACAAGAUCUAUCUAUUAUUCUACCUUCUUGGAUUUUGCUUUGGUAUGAGUUGGGAUGUCGUGUAAUAAGUAGGAAGGGUAUACAAAGGACAAAACAGAAAGAUUUUUCUUCAUUGAUUUUUCUUCAUUUUUUUUUUGUCCUUUGAUGUUGAGGGGGGUUACCGGGUCGAAGGAAGAAAGUUAUAUACAUAUAUAGUCGCUUGUGGAUAGUGCAAGCUGGGAGACAAGAUGUAUGGGAGCCCAAGGAUAUUGCUACUCCUGUUUGCACUUACUGUGAGAUUUUUAUUGAAGAUCAGCUUUUCUUUUUUUUCCCCCUUGAAACGUCACAUCUUAGAGAUACCUGCAAAAUGGAAGCAUUGUCAAAUGGUGCAUGAUUUGUUACUUGUGGUCUAAUUUCUAUCUUGGAGGCAUUGUAUAUAAAAUAUUUCAAUGUUGUAGGACAAUAUCAGAGCUUCUUGUAUAACUGUUUUAAGUGUAAAUUAUUUGGAUUUUUCGUACAAGGAUAGUAUUGAUUUUUGUUCUUUUUGCCAUGCUCUUAGAUGCAACUAGUAUAUGGUUUUCUUUUUAAAUAAUGAAUACCAUGUGUUUCUUAUUUCUUAAAGAACCUUGACCGAGUUGUUACAUUGCUGAUAUUUCUGAUUUUCUAGGGACCUACUUUUUCCCUUUAAUACCUGUACUGACUCAUAUGCGCUUUCUCAUUAUUUACCCUCUUCCAGUUGACAAUUUGGAGCAAUGCAGUGAGAUGGUGGGUAAAGAUGAAAAGCGAAUAUUGGCAUCUGACAGGUAUUCUAAUGUUUCAAAACGAACUCCCACCAGGAAAGAGGGUGCUGAAGAUAGGAAAUAUUUUCCUUUUAAACAAGGAUAUCUUGCCAUUACCAUUUUUCGAGUUGGUGUUGAGGGUAUCCAAAUGACGGUAGACGGGAAGCAUAUUACUUCCUUUGCAUACCGAGAGGUACUCCGAAUGCCAAAAUAUUCAUUACUACCCUUUUAAUAUUGCAUAAUAAUGUAUAGUAUGAAUUAUGAAUUAUGAUAAUAAAUUUGUUAAGUGUUUUGUUUCACCAGAGUUUGGAGCCAUGGCUUGUUAGUGAAGCAAGAAUUUCAGGGGACAUUAAAUUAAUGUCGGUCAUAGCAAGUGGCUUGCCCACAUCAGAGGAUUUAGAGCACGUUGUUGAUCUUGAUAUACUGAAGUCACCACCAAUUCCUGUUGGUAAAGCUGUGGAUCUUUUCAUAGGCAUCUUUUCAACUGCAAAUAAUUUUAAACGAAGAAUGUCAAUUCGAAGAACAUGGAUGCAGUAUGAUGAAGUGCGCUCUGGAAAAGUUGUAGUGCGUUUUUUUGUUGGCCUGGUAAGAAUUGAAAAGUUUUGACUGCAACAUUAUCCUUGCUAUUUAAAAGCUUAUGAUGUGCAUUUUUUUUUUUUAUUUUGCCUUCACUUUAGUUGGCUGUAAUUCUUGUGAUUAUAUAAAUGUUCUGGCUUGAAAAGCGCCUUAGCGUGAAUUGAAUGAUCUUUCUGUGGCUUUUCAAAGCAUAAAAACCAGUUGGUGAAUGAGGAGCUCUGGAAUGAGGCACGCACCUAUGGAGACAUUCAGCUGAUGCCAUUUGUUGAUUACUAUAGCCUGAUUACCUGGAAGACCAUUGCCAUUUGCAUAUAUGGGGUAAAUAAAUCAACAAUUUUCAUUAGUACCGCACUUCUAUUACCAUUUAGAUGUUUUCUCUGCUUCUCUAACCUUUCCAUUUUCUGCAGACGAAUGUUGUAUCUGCCAAGUAUGUUAUGAAGACAGAUGAUGACGCUUUUGUCCGUGUUGACGAGAUUCUUUCAUCUUUAAAGCAAGUCAACGUCAGUCGUGCUCUCUUAUAUGGCCGCAUCAAUUCUGAUUCUGAACCGCACCGGAAUCCAGAAAGCAAAUGGUACAUUACCCCUGAGGUAAUCAAUAAAUUGACGUACUCAAGAUUUGACCAGUUUUUAAGUACAAGUACAUUAUGUUGAGUUGUUGCGCCAAAUUGUUACUCACACGAUACACUAUCGCUUCUGACAUAUUAUUAAGAAAAUGCGUAUUUCAUUAGAAGACUUGAUAGAGUUUGUUUGUUAAAUAUCAAGUUCGCAGCAAAUAUAUUGCGGUCAUUUAAGUUGUUUGUCGUCAGUGAGCUGAAGUCUUAUAAACUUUCUGUUCUCUUGUGAAGGAAUGGUCUGGUGAAAAGUAUCCUCCUUGGGCACAUGGUCCAGGUUAUGUGAUCUCACAGGACAUUGCAAAGGCUGUCCACAGGCAGCAUAAGAAAGGGCGGUUAAAGGUACUGCAAAUGUUGUGUCAGAUAUAAAUAGGAAAUGUUUCUGUUUACCUGUUUACCUUACCGUACUUCGUCAUUCUCUAAUAAUGUUUGACUUAUUUCCAUAAGCUGACAUAAGAUGCCGUCGUGCAGAUGUUCAAACUAGAAGAUGUUGCAAUGGGUAUAUGGAUCGAUAAGAUGAAGAGGAAAGGUUUGGAUGUUAAGUACGUAAAUGAGGGGAGGAUCUACACUGAAGGGUGUGAGGCCGGCUAUGUGGUGGCCCACUACCAGGAGCCCAGAGAGAUGUUGUGCCUCUGGGAAAAGCUUCAGGAGACUCAUCGAGCGAAAUGCUGUUGAAAUUGGUCGUAAUCCUAAAAUGAAAUGGUUAUAUGGCGGGGAAAAUGUCGUCGUCGCGAUGCUACUUCCUGAAGGCUAUAAAAGAGUUUUUCACUAACUCGGUGAGAUGGAAGCUCGCAUUGUAACUGUUGAACGAACCAGCCGCCUUUUGAAGGCACCCUCGGAGAUCGACCUUUGUUUUUUCCUUUAAAUUUUUGUUGCUUGAGCUUAGGUAGAUCUCGGGAGGAUAUGAGAAUUUCUCUGACAAAGUUUAAGAAGUGAGGUAUACGCAAUAUGGUGUUUUCUCUGAGAGGAUAUUGGUUUUUAGUGUAUUAAACCUCCCCUGUAUCAUAUAUUAUAGGAGGUACAGAUUAGGUUAGGAUAUUUUUGAUUUAGGGAGUACAAGUAUCCUCACAGAUGUAAAAGCUGCACUUUUUUAUUUUUCCCUUCUAUUUUUUUCCUGAAAUUAUUUACUUCAGCACUGCAACUUUUGGUCCCUUCAAUUUUACUUUUUCUAACGGACCAACUUAAUUUUUAUUUUUAUUUUUUCAUUUACGUUGUUCAAAUUAAUUAAUUAAUUUAACAAUUUUGUAAAUUUUUUUCCUAGUUUUAUUUGCUACAAAAAUAAUUAUAAUUAAAACUUUUAUUUAUUUGAAUGAACUUUGCUAAUUUUUAAAAAUUCAAAAUCCUAAAAAAAAAAAAAAAUCAGAUGGUCCAGGCAAGGUGGCCCAAUAAGACUUCAGAACGGACUCUGGCCUAGCAAAAAUGUCGGCCUAUCUAUUUUGGGGACCCAACUCGCAGCAUGCGCAUCAUUGGGCCCCACACAUUAGCCUUUUCGCGAGAAUCAACUUUCUCCUCUUGUUACAUACAUGUCCACAGAUAUUAGAAAAGAAAACCUCUUCUGAAAAAAAAUAAAAAAAUAAAAAAAAUAAAAAGGAGAAUAAAAAUAAAAACCAGUACGAAAAUUAUGCUUAAAAAAAAAAAAAUUCCAAUGUUUCUGCGGUUACAAUAAUGAAAUAACAAUGAUGCAAUGCAUUGAAAUGAUAGAUUAUUAUGCGGCCAUGCAGCCAAUGCCGAAGCGCGUAUUGGGGAAGACGAGGAAGAGGGCGCUGCAGACGACCCCGACCAUGAGGGGGAAGCUCUCCAUGACCUCGUCCAUCUCCGCCCUCUGCCCCGGGAACAAGCAGUUCGUCACCCGGUGGUCCGACAGCGCGAUCGCCGCGAACACCAUCACCGACAUCACCGCGUGCACCAGGUCCACGAACCCCAUCCGGAACCGCUCCUCCCUCGGCACCUCCACGCCCGCCCCGGCCUUGAACACCGCCAGCCCCCGCGGCGUCACGAUCCCGUAGUACACCUUCCCGUCCGCCGCGCGGAAGCUGUCCGUGAAGUGGAACAGGAAGCAGGACGCCGCGCACAGCCCCAGCAGCGCCUGGAUCAUCCCCGUGCUCACCGCGCUGCACGACCCGUCCCCCGACGCCGACGGCAGCAGCAUCUCGAACGUCAGCAGCGUCCCCGUCGGCAGGAAGUUCACCAGCAUCGACGUCUUCGACAGCGUGCUCUGCAGCCCCUUCGCCACCGCCCGCCGCUUGCGGCCCCCCGCCGCCGAAGGAUUCGGCGGCGAGGACCGAGGGGAGCAGGGGUGAGACGCCGCGCGCUCGCGGUCGCGGCGGGGGGAGGCGUCCAUGCUGAUGGAGAUGCCGCUGCUCUCAUCCAUUGUUUUGAUCCAGGUAGUUUGCGUGUUGCGUUCGCGGGGCUUUUUAAGUACCUGUAUUUUUGAAUUCGAAUACUUAUUCAGUUAUAGUUAAUAGGAGGGGCUGCUGAUGUUCAUUACUACGACUACUACUAGAUUAGGGCCCGUUUGGCCCAGUUGGCCAUUAGAAGGCCCAAGGCACACUGCGGCCUGUUUGGAUAUCUUGCAAUUUUAUUAUAUAUUAUGAAAUAAUUGUAUAUUAUUAUUGUAUAUGCUUAGUAAAUUUCAUUCUUCUGUCUUUUUAAACAAGACUCGACUCAAUUUGGCCUUCUAUCAUUAGAUAGAGUACUGUUUUCUGUAAGCUAACAAACAAGACGAGGCCUUUAAAUUGAACACAAAAUGCAGAGUUUUGUUGCCACUUCAUAAUUUACUACCACAUCUAGUGCGCAGCUGCAGGCGUCGGCUGUCUCCGGUCUCCAAUCACUCAAUAUUACAUUUCUCACGUUUCUAAUAGCAUUAGAAGACUACAUUAAUUAGUACCGCACUAAGUACUUCCAAUUGUUAUGAAACAAUUAAUUGCUGCACUUCUGAUAUUAAUUUUAGACAGAUCUACAAAACGAGCAGAUGGGUUUGAUCAUCAUCUGUUCCAAAUCUAUGAAUCAUGCCUCUAAUAUUAUACAAAAAGAAAAAAGAAGAGAGAUUAAUUUCAUACAGGUUCUUACAAAUAUAGUAAAUUAUAAAUAUAUUCCUACAAAAUUUAACUUUUACAUAUUAUCCCUACAGAAGUACCGAUGUUUUCAAAUAUAUCCCCUACUGUUAAGAUCCGUUAGAAAAAAUUAGUAAAUCAUAAAUAAAAUACUUAACCCUAAUUAGUUAAUAAGAUGAAUUGAUCUUUUUACCUUUCUUCAAUUAACAGCUGAAAUUUUUGGAGAGACAUAUUUGUGAUGAUAGAAAAGUCAUUUCACUUAUAAAAUAAACAAUGUUUUAACGGUAACAAAUCAAAGAGAUAUAUUUAAAUAUAUUAACACUUUUGCAGUGACAACAUAUGAAAAUUGAAUUUUGUGGAAAUAUAUUUACAAUUUAUUAUAUUUGCAGGGUCCUGCAUAAAAUUAACCAAAAAAAAAAAAAGACCCAAUUGACUAACUCGUCCUGUAAAGAAGAAUCCAAUUUUUGGCACCAAAUCUUCCAAAUUAGUCUUAUUUAGUUUGUGAUCACGUGUCACAAGAGAUACAGUAUGGAUCAAGAUUUCUUAAUGAUAUCUUUGGAUUCUUAAAAUUUGAUCAUAACUCUACCCCGCACUUCACUAGUGUUUGGCACCGAAUACCGAUCUUAUCAACCCAAAAAAUAACCCAUUUCUUUCUUCAUUUAUAUCCAAUUAUAUCUGCAAUCAACGAGAACAAUCAACACUACUUUGUAAUAGUUCCAAAUUGUACCUGGAGAAAAUUAAAAAGGGGUUCUAUCUAACUAGCCUUCAUAAUGCGCGCUCCAUAUACAGAUCCAAUAAAUGGACGUUCCAUACAAAUUUUCCGCUCUUAUUGCACAUGGAUGAGUUACUAUACUCCUAGGAAUAACGUGCGCAUCGUACGUACCCCACUAUUAUUAUUUUUUAGCGUACAAUUUUCACGGCGAGUGUAUAUGUACAAGUCAACAUAUGUGGGGUGAAAUAUCAAAAUGGCAAAUCGGAGAUCAUGCAACGUGACUCUGCUGUAACGCCACGCUGUACUCGGGCCUAAAAUGUUAAUGAAUGAAGUAACUAAUUCGUGAUGGAUAAGACAAAACAUACGUAGGUAACAUUACAUUGGUGUCAUGUGAUUAAGAGUUUACUUCCAUUACAACAUGUGAAGCACGAACCCCUUUAAAAAAAAAAGUAGUUCUUAGGUUAUGAUUAUUAAUCUAACUACGUUUGCAACAAACAUGCUUGGGUUAUUCCCUUUUACUCUCUUGCUUAUUCGAUCCCGUUUGUGCAUCCGAAGUUGCAUGUAAUUCGCUACUUAGUUAAUGAGUUAGCUUAGCGGUGUAACAAUUAGGUACUGAUUCAUAUUCUCAAACACAAUUAAUUAAAAGUUGGGCUCUUAAUUUUUUGAGUUAAUUGUACUAUUAAUGUAAAUUAAUAAUUGGUGAGUGCACCGACCGUCCCUAGAGUAAGUGGUAAAAGGUUUGGUGGUUAGUACCCGAGACCUAAGUUCGAAUCCUAGUUGAUUCACAUUUUCAACUAAGUUUAUUUUCAAAUAAAAUAAACAAAACAGAUAGCAUGCUACCUAUCUCUCUCAAAAAAAAUAAUUAGUUAGUGCUAUAUAUAUCUACUCGUUGCAGAGUUUUAAUUCAGUCCAGAUAAUUCAGCUAUUUUUUUCUCUUUCUCCUUUCUUUUUUGGAGGGGGAGAAUUGGGAGCUCGAAAUCAUACACGUCAAUUCAGAGUCACUUCAUCUGUAAGCUAAAUUCAUUGUUUUUCAAUUCUCACUCAGAUAAAUUAAUUAAUUACCAUUGGAACAUCAAUGACUUAGUCUUUACAGCUAGGAUCAGAUCUAAACUCCUUUCACUAUUGUUCUAUACAAGACUAUCCACAAUACCUUAUAUAAAAAAGAAAAAAGAAAAAAGAAGAUAUCUCAAGUGGUUGAUAAAAUAUGUUUAGUAGGCUCUCAGGUAAUUAAGCGAUCGAUACAUAUAGUCAGAACCGACCGUCCCUAGCGUAAGUGGCAAAGGACUUGAUGGUUGAUACCUGAGGUCCUAAGUUCAAAUCCUAGUUAAUUCACAUUUCUAACUAAGUUUAUUUCUAAAUGAAAUAAAUGAAACGAGUAGUAUGAUAUCUAUCUCUCAAAAAAAAAAAAAGAAAAAAAGAUACAUAGAGUUAGAAUAAUAAUAAGGAAGUUAGCCUCGGGAUUUUGAGACGACAAGUUAGUGUCAGUUUAUAAAUAGAUAGUUCUCCGAUUUGCUUUCAUAAUAUUAAUUUUAUAAGAAAAAAAAUCUUAAUAUAAUCCUCUCGUUGCUGAUUACGUGGUACUACGCACACAGGAUGUUCUUUUUCUUCUUCGUCAAAAUAAUAAUAAUAAUAAUAAAGUACAUCGAUUUAAUCUCUUGCUAAUGUUCUGAAGAUUGCUGUUUCAAACUUUUACAAGCAAAAAAAGAAAGCUAUGUUAUGUUUACAAAUAAAUUUUACUACAUAAGUGGCGACAAUUAGUUAAUAAAAAAUAUGAAUUACGAGGAGGAAAGCAUGACAUAUAAUUUCGAGAUUGAAAUUUAACCAUUAAAAUAUAGAGUUUGUAACAUAUUAUAAAAUUUAUUAAUAAAGAAAAGUACUUUUCAAUAAAAUGUGCUUGUGCAGUAUGUGAUUAAUAUUCCUAUUUUUAGCGAGUGCAAGUUUUUGUGGGCUUUUCUUUAAUUAAGAAGAGUGCCAUAAGAUCUCAUAUUAAUUAUAUGUACGUAGCUAGUUACGAUCUCUGUUAAUUAAAUAUCUGUAUAUUGUCGCUUACUCUCUCUCUUUUUAUCUUAAAAAAAAAAAUCAGCAUCCAAUGACACAGCUAAAAGAAAUGGUUUUUAGUCUCCUGAUUCACAUGCAUAUUGGGCAAUUAAAAAGAAUAUUAAUGUGAAAAGGCAACAUAUAUAUGGAAAAUUAUAACUUUACCAUGCAUGUUGAUCUAAGUAAUUAACCUUAUACACAAGGGCAGAGGAAUGUUCCCAAUAAUCUUUUCUUAGCGAAUUUGCCACAUUGUCUUGUUUCACAUAAUCAAUUUCAUUUUGGAGGGGAUCUAAUUAAACCCCUAUGAUUUUAGACUAAUUAAAUAAUAUACAAUAAUUAGUAUUCUAUAAAAAUCUAAAUUAUCAGAAAAAAUAAGAUUUUUAAUAUUUAUAUUCAACACUUUUACAGCUAAGAGGACUUAGAAUUAAUAUUGACUCUAAUAUAUGUUAUGCUACUGAGACAUAAACAUUAUAGAAAAUAAUUCAUUAAUAAUUUUAAGAGCCCAACCGUUUUUUCUUCAUUUUUUUUCUUUUUUCUUUGUUUUGGGGAGUGGUCUCGAGUUUGAUAUUCUGAUUAUAUAAAGCUAGUAAUUAUAACUUUUCUCUCACAAAAAAUUAAGAGAAAAAUAUGUACUUUAAUUCUAUUGAAGUCGUACAUUUUAUAAUGUGAUCAACUACAUACCUAGCUCAUCACUUUGGUGAUCUCCUAGAUUAUAAAUUUGGACGCAAUCCUGAGUUUUGAUUGAAUAGCCGUAGUAGCAUACAAUAUCCCAGUUUCCCAUCACGUGGAUUGCACAUGCCUAAAACCCUCAUUAUUAUAUAUUUAUACUUAUAUAUUAAAGAGUGAUAAAGGGUGUUUCCCUCGUAUACCCUCUAUCUAUUCAUGAGCCACGAUCAAAUAUUUAAUCUGAGAGUGGACAAAAAUUCAGAACAUGCUGAGGCAAACACAUGGAUUUUAACUUUUAUUUUUUUUGUUUGUUUGUUUUUCACGGACAUUAACCUUUCUCAGUAAACAUUAGAGCAAUAAAAUUAUCUUAGAACUAUUUCUUAGAAAAAUUUUAGGUUGCUGAAUUGUUGGUUUAAAUAGACCAGCAUCUUACCCUGUGUGAUGGGAGGCCGGAUUGGAUCGAGUCAUGUUCAAAAUGACAUAAGAUUGGGUUGAUCCGAGUCAUAUUUGAAAUGACGUGAGAUCGAUUGGACUGACUCACAAUUGAAAUAUAUGGGGUCUAUACACUUUACGUGUAAUGAUUAGUGCCAACGAUUCGAUAUAAACAUGCUUUUCUUCUCUCAAACAAAAUUAAGUAUUGCAAAUUGAACGGGGCUUUAGGACGGCAACGAAGAGCUCCACUGUCGACGACGUACUGCACACUAUUUAUUGGAUCUUUGAUAGUAGGUUGCUUCGUAUAUACUGUCAAAAAUACUCCGACAAAUGCGACGACAAAAUACACAAAAUUCACAGAGCUCGAUCAGCCAAUUAGCUAGGUUCUAAAAAUAAUUUUAGCUGAAUACGGAAGAAAUCCACGGCUGGGAAACAGCUAUUCCUUUGACCUUUGCACAUUUUAGCACACAGCUAUUAAUUAUUACGUGGGUCAUCUUAUUAUGCUCAGCAAAGUACCCAAGCAAACACUUUGGGUGCAUGGUCUCCUCCGCAAACAAGACUAAUUCCCCACGUAUAUAUAUAUAUACACGUAGUAAUAUUAAACUUAAUUAACUACAUUUCUCCGACGAUAAAAGCAAACCGAUAAUGACCAUAAUAAUGAGUUUUUUUUAAAAAAAAACAAAGAAAAAGAAAGAACAGUAACCAAUAAAUCUCUCGAGCCAAUAGUCAAGUUGCUCGAGGGGUACAUACCUCACCCCAUGUGAUUACCCAGUUGUCAAAUAGAGAGAGAGAGAAAAAAAAAAAAAAAUCCCACGUACUGUAUACCCCUCACCACCCAAGUUAAUAACAAAGUAAUAAUAGAAAAUAAAUAAUAACCCAUAAUAAUUUCUCGAGUGGUGACAAAGUGGCUCCUGGGCCUUUGUUUUUAUUGGCCCAUCUCCUUCACUUUAUAAUCCCCCAAACACACAAACACACACACACACACACACACACCCCCAUUACCAAACUAAACCCCCUUCAAAGUCUCUCUCUCUCUCUCUCUCUCUCUCUCUCUAAUAACACUUGGGCACAGUGUUGUUAGAGGGAUGGAGCAAGGUUCAGUUUAUUAAAACCACUUUAUACUUCUCAAUUUAUGAUGCUUACUGUAACUUGGUGCGCAGAAUUUUGAAUUUUGGAGGUGACGCAUUUAUUCUGGUUGUGUUGUGUUUCACAGUGUCUGAUAAGUCUUGGCAUAGACUUGCGCUAUGGAUUGCGCAAAUUUACGACACUGUGUCAUCAUCGUCAGCCGCCACUGCCGUCGACAUUACUCCGGGCCGAGUUGGCGAGCUUCUGUGGCAGCUGCGGUCGGCCGUCAUUGUGCCGCUGGUGAGGCUCUCCAUUGCGGUGUGCUUGAUCAUGUCGGCGAUAGUGCUCAUUGAGAAGUUGGGCAUGGGGAUCAUAAGCCUCUAUGCGAAGGUGUUUCGCCGGCGCCCGCAUCGAGUCUACAAGUGCGACCCCAUCGCCGCCGACGAGGAGAUGGGGUCUUGCGCUCACCCCAUGGUCUUGGUCCAGAUCCCCAUGUACAACGAGAAGGAGGUAUGCUGUUGUUGUUGUUUUUUUUUUUCUUUCACAUAAAUUUUACACUUAAUUUUUAAAAAAUAAAAUGGGAGAUCGAACAUCCAACCUGCUGAAGAAGCUUUAGUAUCUCUCAAAUUCUGAUUGGGUGAGAGCAAUGAAUGGCAUGCGCGCGUGUUGGCAGGUGUACCAGCUGUCGAUAGGAGCCGCGUGUAACUUGGUGUGGCCGGGGGAUCGGAUUAUAGUACAAGUGCUCGAUGAUUCAACCGACCCGACCAUAAAGGUUAGAUCCGAAUCUAAAAAUCUUGGCAAUGCCAGAUCCGUUUUUCUGUAUGUUGGGCGCCCAAUUGCCGUAUUAGUUUACAGAAGUAGAAAUUUUAAAUUUCGUGAAGAAUUUUAUUUUUUAUUUUUUUAUUUUUGUUUUGCUGAUUUGGGCUCGCUGAAUCAGCAAAGCUGUUGAUGGGAGGUCCCACAUUGUGCAUCCCGUGGUCCGUCUCAUCGAUUGGCUCCUGCUGAAUAGGCGCUGAAUCCGCACAAAUUCUCAAUUUUUAUUUUCUAAAUAUUUUUGUUUUUCCUCACGCGAACUGAGAUAAUAAUACAUUAUUAAAAAGCAAAGUUGGAUUUUGUACUAUUAUUUUUUUUGGAGGCGGAGAAGGAAUUGUUAAAAGCUAUUAUUAUAGCCAAGUUUCUCAUUUUAGCUAAUUAAUUGAACAUUUGAUAGUUAGAAGUGCAGAGAAAUGUGAAAAACUAUUCAUUUCAAUUAAUGUGUCUUUGUAUAUCCUGGGCCCCCAAUGCCUCAUACGUGGACCUGCUAGCUUUUGACAUUGUGGCUGCAGCGUGCAUUCCAUAUUUGUUGUGACCUAUACAAUGGCCAAUGGGUUUCCCAAAUUACUGCUUUUAUAAAUAAAUCGUUAACAUAAUAAUAAACAAUUAUUUACAAAAAUUAUUGACGUAUGUAAUACAAAAGAAUUUAAUUAAUUUACAUAUAUAUAUAUAUAUAUAUAUAUAAGUAAUCAGGAUAUUAUUGAAGGGCAAAGUUUUAGCAGCUUUUUUUUUUUAUUUUUAUUAUUUCAUCCGUAGGCUGUGACCGUGAAUGUUGGCAGUAUGCAGCUAAACACUUGCUGUAACAUGCUUCUGCUUUUUAUUCUUCGUGAUUGGAUCUCAUUGGAAUAGAAUUGUACAAAAUAAAAUAAAAAAAAAAUUACUACUCAACAAGUCCCUUGUCUUAGAAAUAAAUAUAUAUACUCACAUGUCCAACAAAUUGCUAAUCUGCAUGUUCUCUGGAUUUCCUGAAAUAAUCUUAAUUAUCACCCACCUGUUUUUCUUGGAGUUACUUAUUAUUGUCAAAGGUAUUUGAUUGGUUUUACCGAGUACAUUUUAAAUUUUUGUGAGUCGCCCAUCUAAUACAUUGUGAACUAACACACCCAGGAACUCGUAAAAGCCGAGUGCACAAAAUGGUUCAACAAGGGGAAGAACAUAAAAUACGAGACGCGGAGCAACAGGAACGGGUACAAAGCAGGCGCUCUCAAAGAAGGGAUGAAGCAUAGCUACGUCGGAGAUUGCGAGUACAUUGCCAUGCUCGAUGCCGAUUUCCAACCCGCUCCCGAUUUCCUUUUGCGGACCAUCCCAUUCCUUGUGCACAACACCGACAUUGCGCUCGUUCAAGCUCGUUGGCAGUUUGGUGAGCACCUGCGAAUGAGCUCACACAUGCAUUAGAUAUAGAGAGUGUAGAAGUGCGUUCUCUACGGUCCGUUAUGUAGGAUUUUUCUACAUACUAGUUGAUCUCACUGCCCAUCCGAAGGAAAAGUUGAUGCAAACUAUCAGAUCGGCCAAUUGGUGGACCAUAGAUGGCAUUGCCUCCUUCAUAUGGAUGAUGAGAUUACCUGGUGUGUAAAAAAACUUUGUAGACGGCCCUCUAGAGAAUGCUCUCGCUUAGGCAUACAAAAGAAGGCACUCAAAAGGAUAAAUAUCGUUAUAGAGUGCUAAGUUGGAAUUCAAAAUUAUAAUUUGGGAAGAUGCUAAUAAGAUAUUUCUCCAUGGUUCUCUAGUAAACGCAAGCGAGUGCUUGAUGACAAGGAUGCAAGAGAUGUCAAUGGACUACCACUUCAAGGUAGAGCAAGAAUCAGGUUCCACCUCGUGCGCAUUCUUCGGUUACAAUGGUAAGAAUCUUAUUAUGAGCUAAUCUGCAUAUUGGAACAUAACUUUGCUCACAAUAAGAAAAAUAAAGGAACAUGUUACAGGUGCAACAGGGAGCCAGUAUACUAUAACAACAAAUAAAUUCAUUACAACAAAGAUGUAAUAUCACCUGAUAAACUCGCUUGCUCGGACUACUCAAUUUGCAACCAAUUUACAAAGAGAAACCAAAAGAACAGAUAAGCAUUAAAUUCCAGAAAUCAUAAUAAGACUCAGCUUACAGAACAAACAGAUUACCUGGUAUUCUGACUGAACUAGAAAAACUAUGAAUGAGGACCAGGAAAGAAUACAGUUGAAAGAAAGCAAGCAGUAAAGAGGCACAAAACACAAAACGUUUGAGAUCUAUAACAGUCCGUCUUUGUGUAGUGCAGAUACAAAGCUGCAGAAAUUUCAUAGAGUACAUUUGUCUGUCUGAUAUAGGUACGGCUGGAGUGUGGAGAAUCCACGCCAUAAAUGAAGCUGGGGGUUGGAAAGAUAGAACUACUGUUGAAGACAUGGAUUUAGCAGUCAGGGCUGGUCUUGGCGGUUGGAAAUUUUUAUACAUCGGUAACAUCAAGGUGCACUCCUUUGUUUUUUUUUUUUUUCCAUAAGAAUAGAUGCUUUCAACUACAUAUAAAUUUCUUUCAAAAAAGGGAACUCUUACAUAUAAUGGAUGCAUUUCAUCAGAAACAUGAUUUAACUAUCAACAGCAGCAACUCCUACUACAGUUUUAAACAUCAUAAACUGAAGAUUCAUUACUUAAUUCCAAAUCACAUAGUAUUUCAUUAGCAUGAAACGCAAGUAGUUGCAAAACAAAAAAGAUAACCUGACAAAUAAAUAAUUUGGCAACAAGCUGGAUAUUGUUCUCAUGAGGUAACUUUUUGGAUUCUUAGGUCAAAAGUGAAUUACCAAGCACAUUCAAAGCUUAUCGUUAUCAACAGCAUCGUUGGUCAUGUGGACCAGCAAAUCUGUUCAGAAAGAUGGUGUGGGAUAUUGUAAAGGCUGAGGUUAGUAUCUAAAAAUACUAAAGAAACUAUCCAACUACUGUAGAACAAAAAUAUAAAUGGAUAAUAAAGCAUUUCCUCAGUUAUGCAUGGCAACACUUUUGUCUAAGCAUGUUACUAUCGUGAUUAGAAAGAGCAUUAAAUUCGAAUUUACCUUUCAUCCUAUUUUUUAUGCAGAAAGUGUCAAUAUGGAAGAAGUUCUUUGUGAUCUACAACUUCUUCUUGGCUCGGAGGAUUAUAUCGCACUUUGUCACCUUCUCUUUCUACUGUGUGGUGAUACCAUUUUCAGUUUUUUUUCCCGAAGUUCAAAUUCCCAUGUGGGGGGUGGCAUAUGUUCCAACAGCAAUUACUCUUAUGAAUGCAGUUGGAACUCCAAGGUUUGAAGCUUUCACUUCUCUAUCAGAAUGUUCCUUAGUUUAUGCUUCAAAGAUCAAAGUGCUUCGGUAGAGAACUUGUUCACUAUUUUGCACAAAAGAACCACUCAUACUUCCUCUAAUACCAACCAAGAAAAAAAAAUGUCCUGAAUAUAGAUAGAACAGGUGUAGAUUGUUUAAUAUGAUAGAAAAUAUCCCAUGAUUCCCCCCUUAGUCAGUAAAAAAAACUAGAAAAGAAUAAAGAAAAUCUUACUUAUUAUGUUUCUCAUUUGUCUUGUGUAGGUCAUUUCAUCUAAUAAUCUUCUGGGUCUUAUUUGAGAACGUCAUGUCCUUACAUCGGUGCAAGGCUGUCUUUAUUGGUCUAUUUGAAGCAGGGAGAGUAAACGAGUGGGUCGUUACAGAGAAGUUGGGGGACAUGCUAAAGACAAAAUCCAAACUUGAUGUUGCAAAGAAAUUUCACUUCAAAUUUAAGGACAGGUAAAUCAAUCAACAUUACUUUCGGCAGUGUAAUGCACCAACAUUUGCUAUAUGAAAUCAGAAAUAAGCAACUAAACCAUUACCGUAUAGUAAAAUUCAAUAUCAUUUAUUUACUUGAUGAGUAUAGAAAAAGUUACUAAUGUAACCUUUUUCUUUUUUCUACUGACCAGAUUCCAUGUCCUGGAGCUUGUCGUUGGGUUAUACCUGAUGGUGUGUUCAUGUUACGACUUUUUCUACCGCAAGGACUACUAUUUCAUCUACUUCUUUCCUCAAUCCAUAGCUUUCCUCAUCAUGGGUUUCGGCUAUAUUGGUACAAUCAUCCCUACCAACAAAUAAGGCAGUUAGGCUAAUGCCUUCAUCCACCAUCUUUAUUCAUAUACAAGAAAAUCUUUUGCGAUUUCUGCAUUUUUUUUAUAAGACAUUAGCAAAAGUUGCUCUCAAAUUCGAUACAGUGAAGAACCAUUCAACUUCUGUAGCAAAAAACUAUACAAAGCCAAUUCUUGGAAGUCAUACAAAGACGAUUUGCAGCUAAAUAUGGAGAAAAGAAGAGCAGAAAUGCAGUUUAUCAUUGCAGUAAAAGCAAAGACAGACUGGUCCUGAUAUAAUGUGAUAAUGUUGAUUAUGAUAUUGUAAAUCAAAUGAAUGUAUCUAUUUAUUCUUCAAUGAUCAAUGAGAAAUAUGUGGAAUAUAUUUUGUCUUUCUAUCUUCUUUUUUCACUAAGGGCAUAUUUGUUUGGGUGGAAGUGGGGCGGAUGUGGAGAGGGGGAAAGUCGUUUUCGCCAUAAAUGAUCACUUCUGUCAUUUGGUUCGCCGUAAAUAAAUUACGGUCGAAACUCGAGUUAACCUGAAACGGCACAAUUGACUUUGGCCCAUCGUGGACCAAAGUCAAUUAUGGUGAAGAGAGGUGAAGAAAAAAUAAUAAAAUAAUAUACUAGGUAAAGAUAGUUAUAUUUAAAUAUAUUUAAUAUUAUGGUACUAAUUACUCUUUUAUUCAGUUGGCAUAUUUAAAAUAUGAUAAAAAUUGAUUAGUUAAGUUUUAGUAUUUUCUUUAUUUAGUUUGUACAAUUAAAAUAUGAUAAAAAUUGAUUAAUUAAGUAUUAAUAUUUUUUUUACCUUGUAAUUUUAUUGUUGUAUUACUAUAAUUUAUGUAUAAAAAAAUAAUUUAGUUGUUUUAAAUUAAAUUGUAAUUAUGUAAAAAUAUAAUUAUAUUAUUUUUAUUUAUACAUAAAUUAUAGUUUUACAUCACAUACUUCCUAUUAAACAAACAACAGAACUAAUAAAAUUUUACUUCCAUAACUACGAAACAAACAGCGGGGAAGUAGUUUUCACCGAACUUCACUUCAAUCCAAAAUUCACUUCAACCAAAAGUCCAGUUUCGGCGAAACAAACAUGCUCUAAACGAAUGAGGAUGCAGAUACAGAAGUAAUGACAGUGAAACAUGUCUAGAAACCCCCAUUAGUUAUGCAUACGGAGAGGUCUACAAACAUCACUAUCCGACCUUUUUAUGAAUUAAAUGUUGAUUUCUUUUUCCUGAAAAAUGUACAAAGAUCCCUAAACUUUGGCUCUUUUGUAAGAGGUGCCUAAACUUGCAAUUUGGAAAUUCGAACUCUUAAACUUUGUUAAAUAAUUCAAAAGACCCCGCACUUCAAUUAUAGUUAUUAAUUACACAAUUAUUUCGGUUGCAUGAACUGCACAGUUCUAUAAAGCUUCAAAACACUAUAUAUAUAUAUAUAUAUAUAUAUAUAGAGAGAGAGAGAGAGAGAGAGAGAGAGAGGGGNUGGAAGUACGGAACCCUCCGUGCUUCCAAGUCGUUUUCGAUGUUGGAACAUUCGAAUCGACUAUUGGCUCCGUUAGACUUGAUCUAGAGUAUCUGAAGUACCUAGAAAAUAAAUUUUACGAUUUUUCAUAUCAUCAGCCUAGUGAUCGGAAGGACACAAAAUCAAUAAUUUUAAUGGUCGUGGUGAGUCGUUUGCAAGUUUAAUGGUGUAGAAAUUUUCAAAUCAUGUGAAAUUUUGAUAGAAAAUUCUUUAUACUAUAUAAAACAAGAUCAAUAUCUUUGAUCUAAAAUCUUAAUGUCAUAUCAUCACAUUUUAUAAGAUUUUUAUUUUCAACCGUUGAUUUUGAGCCUCUUCAAUCACUAAGCAAAUGAUACCGAAAAAUCGCAAAAUUUAUUUUCUAGGUACUUCAAAUACUCUAAAUCAAGUCUAACGGAGCCGAUCGUCGAUUCCAGAGUCCCAACAUCAAAAACGACUUGGAAGCACGGAGGGUUCCGUGCUUCCAGAAGCAUACCAGCCUCUCUCUCUCUCUCUCUCUCUCUCUCUCUCUAUAUAUAUAUAUAUAUAUAUAUAUGGUACUCUAACAUGUAAAGAAAAGAUAAAAAUUGAAGUUCGGUUCAACCUAUUCUUCGAUUGUCAUGCUUAAUUAUCAAAAUUGGAAGAGAAAAAAAUAAAUUUAUUUAUAUUUUGCAGUCUUACAGGAUUAUAUGUACAACAUCCAAUCAAAACAGCUAUGUAAUUAGCAAUUUUACGUGAGAAGAGACCUAUUGAAACAUUUGGUAAAGUUUAGCUCAUGUAAUUGCCAAAAUUGAAAGUUCAGGUGCCUAUUUGCAAAAGAGGUAAAGUUCAGCGGAUCUCUAUACACUUUUCGCUUUUUUUCUUUUCCUUCAAUUGUCUUUUUUAGGAGGUUGAGACUACAAGUGUUAGGAAUAAACUUUGGUAUUCCAAGAGAAACACUUGCAAUAAGAAACUAUGAGCUAAUGAGGAAAUUGGUCAUUCUCCUCCAGCUUUAUGUGAGCGGAUAACACCUAUUCUUUUUCUUAGGGAUGGAGAACAAACGAAUUAUUUUCUGGGAGUUUGAAAAUUUACAUUAGAAGAGGAUGCAAUUGGUGAAGCAGCUGGCCAGAUAUCUUAAAUAAAUGAAUCACUGCAUUCGUAAUACUCCAUGAUACCACCUGACUGUAUAUAUUUUUAACAUGAUAUUGAGAAAGAAUUUAACUGUCAAAAAUUAAUCAGUUUCUCUGAUCUGAUACACAGCAAUAACAGGGAUUUCUCCAGAAACUCUUGUAUCACCUAGCAGGACAAGCCAAAUUUCUGUCCAAAAAGAACCCAAUGCUAAUUAUAUUCCCAUUAAGUUAGACAUCAUUAUGAAGUAUCUAGUAAGAACAACUUACAUCUGCCUAAAGGGUUUCUCUCUUCAUAAAAGAACAAGUUAUAUGAUUCAGAUGGUUAUUGCUCUGCUUUAAAAAUUCUUGCAAUAACAAUCCAUAUCUAUGUAUUCAUCCUUUUAUUUAGUGAGACAAAAAAGAUGGGUUUAUAAAAUUUUUCGACAAUUUUAUUUUUCCUUUUGGUCUUCCCUAAACAGGUUUCCAUUCAAUUCAAAUUUGAAAAAUUACUCAGGCAUCAACCUUUGCAUAGAAAUAUGGCAAAGUACUUAAGAGCAUAGAAACUUACGCAGUUAAGUAAGAUUUUCAUAGUAUAUGUGAAUAAAUAUUUAAAAAACAUGUUUGAAAAGAAAUAUAUAUAUAUAUAUUAGAACUACUCAGAUAUCAUUUCUGGCUACAAAAACUUGAUAGCCAAAAACUUGACUAACAUAUAUAUGGAAGGGAAAUAACAGGUUACAACUGAAACUGAAGUUAAAUUUGACACACAUUGAACCCAUGCAAACCAAAAGCUUAGGCCAUUAAGUUCUGAGCUAACAGUGCCUACCAAUCAAUUUAUCUUAAGUCCUGCUAUUUCACAAUAAUAGGACUCUCUAGUAAUUGUGCCAUUAACCACUUUUCAUGAGUCACGUAAGUUCACUAUUUUGCACAAGUCCAACUAUCAUGCUCCCAAGGCCUAAAUCAAUGAUAUGCUAUGUCCUGGUAAAUCAAGCCCGUGCGUUAGUUUUGUGUCCACACAUUAAGCGAGCUUCUUGCAUCAUUAGUCACUUUGUACAGUGACAAUUUUGUGAUUCUACUUCAAAUAGGCAUGUGGCACACAAUAUACUAUAUAUUACGGUAUCACUACUGUUGGUUGUUUAUUGUAUGUAUUUUUAUUUUUUCAAAUAUAUAGGGUUGUGAUGCUGAUAUUGUCAAUCACUUUGUACAUGUUUUUCAUUAUUCUGACCCCAACAAGCAGUCUAAACUUAUUCCCAUAAACAUUACCGGAGAAUAACUAAUGAAAACCAAAAAGAAACUGCACUAUUUCCUCUAAUUCACAUAAUAGCACAAGUUGGUGAAAAAUGCUUAUAUAUCUUUGUUAUGGCAAACCAAGUGUGACUUAGGAUCCCCAAAUGACGUGCCUCCGAUAGGCUUGCAACUUGCAACUGGCAACUUGUCCUCUUUUAGGCCUUUGAGAAGAUCCAAUGAAAAAAAGGGCUUGAUGAUGACAAUAACCACAUGCCCUAAACUUGCCUUCUACUUAUUUCCUGGGCAGUAUUAUUAGAAAUCCUAGUGACCGUAAAGAUGUUGAAGCUGGUUUAUUCCUCAAUCAAUAAUACGUACAUUAUAGUUCUAUUAUUGAUCAUCUAUUUGAUUGGCACGAUGCAAAUUGAUAAAAUAAAAAAUCAAGAGAAAAGACAAUGAAAAUUAGGGCACUUUCAUAGAACAAAAUAAUCAGAAAUAGCAUAACAGGUGCGAAGGAGCCAGAUCGUUUCCACCAACACAACCCAUUUAUCUUUUGUCUCUUAUGGAACAAUUCUAAAUUAAAAUAUUUGAAUCUCAGCAUUAGAUGGUUUACAUUUGAUGUAUUAGCACAUUUAGCAUAAGAAAGGUGCAUCAUUCUCUAAAAAGUAACACAACUGCUGCAUUUUCCACCUCUUUCUAAACUAGUGAACUAUAGGUGGAGAUGCCGCUUGUUUUUCUCAAGAAGAAGAAAAAGAGAAGUGCGCUUUUUUAUCAUGGUUAAUUUGAAAGCAUUCUCAUGUGUAUAGACAUAUAAGUAAUACAAUUGGAAAAUAGUGUUAGAAGAUAUGCCUAGCAGAUAAAAGAAAUUGUAAUAUAAGAAGUAAAAUCGACAAUUUGUUUCAAGAAGGUAAAGUGCGUCUAAUGACUACCUAAUAUCUAAUGUCAUUAAUAAAAAUGUGGUUGAAUCAGAUGGUAUCAAAGUUUUCAAUAUUGUCCUCUAGUACUAGCUUGUGUCCUAGAUCUACCAUCCUAGAAUAAUAGCUGCACAUACUGCAAUUUAUUACCUACAACACUCAUAAGUAGUUAAUAUCCAUGGCAUGAACUGAUGGUCAAUUUGAAAUAAUAUAACAAUACAGAGAAUUAAUUCUCGCAUUAAAACAUUUCCCCUAGGAAAUUUAUCUUUUUUUUCUUUUUUUAUUUCAAACUUCUACGUAGUAAGUUGUCCUAUAACUAAAUGAAAGAAGCAAAAAAGACAUAAGGAAAUAUUAAUGUCAACGUUCGAUAAAGAGUUAAAAAAAAAAGAGACAAUGAAUGAGAAGAAAUGUCCAUGUGUGCUUUAUGGUCUUUUUUUUUUAACCUGGUAUAAUUUCACACAUGAUAGAAUAUUGCAAUAGCAGAACAUAAUUCCACGCACGAUGUUACAAGUUACCACAUCGAAUUAUUUCAUCUUUUUUUGCCUCGUUUGUAAUUUAGCUGCAAAUAAUGACAGAGCAAUGGAAAAAUUAUAAUCAUCAUCAUCAUCCUUUUUUAAUAAUUCAAAUUUGAUAGACCUAUUCUCACAUGAUGUUAAGAAGGCCAAAAAGCUUAGAUCAAUAUUGCAUGAACGCUGCCACGUUAAUGAUUAGACGAUAAAUAAUGCUCUUUGUUUUAAUAUAUAUAUAAAAAGCUCAAGCAAGGCAUGAGAGGCCACAUACCCCGGCGGCUCUUCUCCACCGUCGAUCGCCCGCGGAGGAGAGCAACGAAGAGGCGCCCACGACAAUGCAAGGUACCAACACCAAAAGAAUUCUUUCUCUUUUUUUUUUUUUGAAAAAAAAUUACUUUUUCUUCUGUGAGGAAUUUCACCGAACAGUUGGUGUGCGUGGUGCGUACAUAGCCGAGGCGUCGCUUCCGUCGGCGCUGGCGGUCGCGAGGGCGGCGUUGGAGGGGGCGUGGGCGUGGGGAGCGGCGGCGGCGCCGGGUGGGUUGGGGCGGAUAUGGGGGGAGGUGAGGGGGUCGGCGGUGGUGCCGGCGAUGAGGGGGCUGGUGGUGGCGUGCCUGGUGAUGUCGGUGAUGCUGCUCGCGGAGAAGGUGGCGAUGGGGAUGGUGGCGCUCUGCGUGAAGCUGCUGCGGCGGCGCCCCGAGAAGGUGUACAAGUGGGGUCCCAUCAAGCAGGACGAGGAGCUGGGCUCCGCCGCGUAUCCCAUGGUCCUCGUCCAGAUUCCCAUGUACAAUGAGCGCGAGGUGCGUUUCGCUUUUAUACCUAACCUUCCCGUUUUCGCCAGUAGCAACGAGCAAACUAAAUAUAAAAAACUUAACUUCCCCUGCUGCGGUGCCAAGCCAGGAUUCUCAAUCAAAAAAAAAAGGAAUAAUAAAAAUACUUUUGUGUUAAUCACAAUGGUUCUCUCGUUGUUGGCCGGUAACGCCACAUCAGCAAUAUAACUGAUGCAUUCUAAAAUUUUUUCGUGAGCAUCAGAGAUAAAAUUCUGAACCACAUAAAAAAAAAAGGAUGUUACACUGCUGUCGAAGGUAUUAAGACAAUAUAGUACUCUUUCUGUUAACACUAUUUAAUUUGCUGCACUUUGCUGAAUAAUGCAUUUUUUUUUACAAACAAACAUAAUUUAAAAUAUAAAAAAAAAAUUGAAUUUUAAACUUAGAAUUUUAAAUGCUGAUAGUUAAAUUUUUUACCACUUAUGUUAGAAACAGUCGAUUUUGUCGAAUAAUACUACUGUAUCCUAGAAUCCGACCAAACAGCCUAACUAAUGUUGAUGUGGAUCAUAUCAGGUUAAUUAAUAAAAUCUGGAUAAUGAUGUCAUGUCUCGUGCAACAAUUGUACAUUACAUCAUUUCAUUUCGUUUCACUCAGUGCUCGUGGUUUAUAUUGUUGUAAUAAUGUUCAUAAUAACGUGCAAGUAAUUGUGCUAUUCAAUAUCUCUGCAGGUCUACCGUUUAUCCAUCGGAGCAGUGUGUAAUCUAGUAUGGCCGUCAGAUCGUCUCAUAGUUCAAGUUCUAGAUGAUUCGACGGACUUGAUUACUAGGGUUCGAUUCGAUCGCAAGCAAUAAUUUCCUUUUUUUCUUUUUUCAAACUUAUUAGAUAGUAGAGAGUACUAAUGCAACUUUUAAAAGAAAAUGUUCAUGUUGGUUUAGACUUGGUUUGUACAAUUAAAAGUCCUGAGAAUUGAGAUUUUUGAAAAAUAAUUGCAGGACUUGGUGCAAAAAGAAUGCGAGAAAUGGGUGAGAAAGGGGAUUAACGUACAUUAUAUAUCAAGAGAUAAUAGGAAUGGGUAUAAGGCGGGCGCAAUGAAAGACGCGAUGGAGAUCGAUUAUGUGCAGCAAUGCGAUUAUGUCGCUAUAUUUGAUGCCGAUUUUCAACCAGAAUCUGAUUUUCUCGUUCGAACCGUACCUUUCUUGAUGUACAAUCCCGAACUUGCUCUUGUUCAAGCUCGUUGGAAGUUCGGUAAUAUAUUUUACUACAAAUUUAUUCUCAGAAAACUAUAAAAAAAAAUUUUUUUUAAAAAAGCUGAUCACUCUACUGAGUUAUUUAUAAUUUAUAAUUUACAAUUUGCGCGGUGACUUAUGAUUAUGUAUAGUGAAUGCUGAUGAGUGCUUGAUGACACGAAUACAAGAGAUGUCUCUCAACUACCAUUUCAAAAUUGAGCAACAAUCCGGUUCAUCAACCUUAGCAUUUUUCGGGUUUAAUGGUGAGCAUACUCAAUUAAUUCUCUUAAGAUAAAUACUAAAAACAAAAUAUUUUCUUUUUUUUUAAGAAAAAGGAUAACUAUAGACAAUAAUUUGGUCAAAUUCAGGGACGGCCGGGGUUUGGCGAAUCUUAGCUAUCAAAGAAGUCGACGGAUGGAAAGAAAGAACAACAGUAGAAGACAUGGAUUUAGCAGUGAGAGCAACUCUUGCUGGUUGGAAAUUUCUAUAUGUCGGUGGAAUUAAGGUACUAAAUUGCAGGAUUUCAUUUAGCAAAGUCGCAGAAUAUUUCAUUAAGUAGAAAAAUAUUAUGUGUAAUCACGAAAGUUCUAUUUAAAAUGGUUAAGUUCUAAUGGAUCUUGACUAAAUUAAAUUUAAAAACAUAUAAUAUGUUACAUUUCUAAGCGCGAGAGAUCAGCUGCAAAUUUUAUGUUGUUUUUCUUUUUUUACUUCGUUUCGUAGGUUAAGAGCGAACUCCCCAGCACUUUCAAAGCUUAUCGAUUUCAACAACACCGAUGGUCUUGCGGACCCGCGAAUCUAUUUAAGAAAAUUGCAAUGGAGAUCAUAAAAGCUAAGGUUUUCUCUCUUUUUCUCUCUCUUUUUUCUCUCGUUAUGUGCGCACGCGCUAUCUGCAUGUGCGGAAAAGCUAUAAUUUUGUUUUUAAUGAGACACGUAAAAAAUUGAACUGCAGAAGGUGCCAUUUCACAAGAAAUUAUUUUUGCUGUACAACUUCUUCCUCGCUCGGAGAAUUAUUUCCCACAUUGUCACCUUCUUCUUCUACUGCGUGGUGAUACCGGUAUCCGUAUUCUUCCCCGAAAUCGAAAUUCCGCGAUGGGGAGUCGUUUACAUUCCAGCAGCCAUUACCCUUCUCAACGCAGUGGGGACUCCCACGUAAGAGAUUAGUAACACAUUUGUAUUCGUUGAGUUCGACUCUUUUUUUUUUUACUCGUUGUUUGUAACAAGAUAAUAUUUCAGAAUUAGAAAUAUAUAUAUAUAUAUAUAUAUAUAUAUAUAUAUAUAUAUAUAUNUAUAUAUAUAUAUGCAAGAUAAGUGCACUAAUUGUUUUAGCUUUUCUUUGUUAAAAUCGGCUGUACAAUUCGCUGCAGCUCCAUUCAUCUCGUUCCAUUUUGGAUCUUGUUCGAGAACGUCAUGUCGUGGCACCGAUUCAAAGCUGUUAUAAUUGGCUUGAUGGAAGCGGACCGGGUGAAUGAGUGGGUGGUUACUGAGAAAUUAGGUGACACGAUGAAGACGAAACCAUUAGUCACUGUUGUUAACAAGCUACGUACCGAGUUCUGGAAAAGGUGAUAUAUAAAUUAACUGCAUGUGUGAUGUUUUUAUUAACAAAGUUUACGAAAUUGAAUUCCUUAUGUCUACUUUAUAAACAUCUAAACAUUGGGUUUUUUUUUUUUUAUUUAUCCCUGCAGGUUUAAUUUUGCAGAGCUCGGAAUUGCAGCUUUUCUCAUACUGUGUGCAACAUACGAUUUCUUGUACCGAACCGAUCACUACUUCUUGUACAUUUACCCGCUUGCUGUAUCUUUCCUCAUCAUGGGAUUUGGCUACGUCGGCAUCGUCGUCCCCGGCGGGAAGUAGAUAAGAAUAAAAUGAGAAAAGUAGGCGGAUUUAAAUGCAAAAUCACAUCAGCAUAUUAUAUAGAGAGAGAGAGAGAGAGUAGGGCUACAUACUAUUAGGAGUACAGUAAUCCUUGUGCUUCUAAGUUUUUGACCGCCCAUCAAACUUGAUGGGUGGUUAGGGUGAAAGAGAGAAGAGAAAUUGAAGAGAAAUUGGAUUUCUUAAUUUUUCUUUUCUUUGAAUUUCUCUUCAAUUUGUCUUUUCUCUCUCACCCUAACCAUCCAUCAAAUUUAAUGGGCGGUUAGAAACUUAGGAGCACAAGAACUACUGUACUCCUAAUACCACAAUAGCCCUACUCUCUCUCUCUCUCUCUCUAUAUAUAUAUAUACACAAUUUACAAAGGAGAUUCUUUAUUUAAGGUUCCUUGCUAAUGUCUAGUUGUAUUAAUGUACGCUUGCAUGCAAUAAUGCGACACUGCUCUAUAUUAGAGGAUAAAUAAGCAACGCCAACGCUAAUAUCAAAGAAUUAUCAGUUGGCGGUUGAUUCUACGUGUAUGUAUAAGAUCGUGAAAAGCAUUAGCAAAUUGUGAAAACAAAUAUUAUUGGAGAAAUUAAGAAACUUGAAGAAGCAUCAGCCUAUCAUUUCUUUCUCUUAUUCUUCUUCAGAAUUACUGCUAUGGAAUUAAGUAUGCCAAUCAUGAAACUUCC
rnacentral:lncRNA from 1 species